AUGUUUUUGACAGUCCAAAUCAGGGCAAACCAACAAACAGCUUUAUGUUAACUUUUACAAACUGCCACAUUUUCAGGUUAAACAAACAGAGAUAAAUCUUGGUGAAACUAGAAGUAAUACAACCUGUUCUGUGGAGAUAAAAGAAAGGGCAGCAGUACUGGUGGCUGCAGAAAUUGAGGCAUGUAGAGACGAUAGAACCCCCAAGAUACCUCUUCAUGAGAAAGUCCAGAAAGAGUGGGCUUGUGCUGUAUGCCAGUUCACAACCCAAACUGAAGCGACCUUCAAUUCCCACCUUCAAGGGAAGAGACAUCAGGCCAUUUCUGAGCAGCUGAGAGCCAAAAACCAGGCAACCAAAACCAAUUGUUCCCCAUCUGCUUCAAUGGCCAAGAAAUCUGAUCAGUCCACCAAAGAGGAGCAACCAAAGUGUACUUCCAACAAUCUGAAUUCCAAAAACAAUGGAAUCUCAGCUGCUUCAACAGUGAAGAAACUUGAUGAGACCAAAGAUGAUGAGCAACAAAAGUCUGCAUCUAGCAAUGGACCAAACCAGAAGAAUAACAAAAAGCAAGAGGUACAGACCAAUGAGCAAGGCCAUCAGAAGAACUCAAGGCAAACUGGUGAUGGAAUGAAAGAGUUGAGAUCAUGGUGCAAUAUCUGUAAUGUAAGCUGCACAAGGGAGCUUGACCUGGCCUCUCAUCUCAAUGGAAGGAGGCACUUUGAUAGGAUAAAGCAGCUGUCUGAAUUAUGGUGCAGUAACUGCAAUGUAAGGUGCAACAGUGAGGUUGAUAUGGCCUCUCACCGAAAUGGGAGGAGGCACUUGGAGCAGCUGAAGGAACAGUUAGGAUUAUGGUGCAGUAUCUGUAGUGUGAGUUGCAACAGCAAGGUGGACAUGGAUUCUCACCUAAAUGGGAAGAGUCACUCGGAUCAGAUCAAGGACCAGUUAAGAUUAUGGUGUGGGGCAUGUAAUGUAACCUGCAAGAGUGAGCGCAACAUGGCCUUUCAUCUGAAUGGGAGGAAGCACUUAGAGAAGAAGGGGAAUACCUGAUUUGCUCUUCAGAUUAUUGAUACUUACAAAUGGUUUUAGUUAGAAGCAUACAGACCAGUGGGUGGUGCUCACAGAUGCCUCUAUUUUGUUGUAUGAAGUAAAAACAGUAUUUCCAUGUCCAGAAAUCAACCACUUGUUUAGUGCAUGCAUGGCUGGUUCAAAAUUAAACCUAAUUGUGAAUGACUAGGAGCAGGGAGGGAAAAAUUGAAGUGAAGAAUGUAAGAUUAUGGCUUCAUUUUUAUUUUUUCCUCUUCUGAAAAUUGUAAGAUUGUGUUAGGAGGAGCUGGAAUGGGUUCAAAUCAGGAAUUAAGACCCAGUUCCAAGACAUGGAAAGUGUCUUUAGAUUAUGUUAAGUUAUUUCCAUUUUUUUUUCUUUAUUUACGGUAAGAGGGAGCAUAAGGAACGAAAAUGAAUAUUUUUUUUUUUUCGAAUAAAAAUGAAUUUGAUAAUUUCAAUUAUUGUGUUUGGAUGUAUUUCGGAAUGUAAGAUUAAAAUAAUUAUUUGUUUUCAUUUUAGUGUUUGAUAAUAAUGAAAGUAUGAAUUAAAAAAUAAAUUGAUAAUAAUAUUCUUAUAUUUAAUUUAAAAUAUAUAUAUAUUUUUUAUUUUAGAAGAAUAUGGGUUAAAAGUUUUUUUUUUUUUUUAAAUAAUAAGCUUAAGAAAAAUAAUUUUUACUCAAUAAAUAAAAUUAAUCAUACAAAGUCAUAAAAACCAAACCAAAAUAUAAGGGUAAAAUAAUAAUUUUAAACUAUUCAUUUAAGUUAUCCAAAUGCAUUCCGACUCUUCAUUCUCUUAUACCAAAUACCGUCUUUAAGUAUUUGUCAAACUUAUUUUUUUGCAAAAUAUCAAUAUUUUACUAAUAUUUUUAUCGAUUAUUUGCCGAUAUUUAUCGCCACGUCACCAAUUCUUUGAGUUUGACUUUCAAAAUUUUGAAAUGAUCUUUGAAGUCCAGUUCAGCCCAAAUCACUACACCCAUGAACUCAUCUACAAAAGGGAACGGCUGGGCCACCACACUAAUAUGGCCCAUACAUGGGACCUCGUAAAAGAAUACCCAUCUUCAAAAAUAGGGACCAUAUUAAAUUAUUAAUGUAGCUAUAGGAAGCAUUUGAGGACAAGGGUUAUGAUUUUUCCCUUUUCUUUUUCUCCUUAAUUUUCACAUCACCCAACAACACCACUCUUAAUUCACACAAAUUUGAAGGUUUGGAAUGAGACUUCUUCAUAAUUAUAUUGUAAUUAUGUUAUAAUAACCAUGUCGUUUUUGGAUUUAUUUAUUCAGUCCAUCUAAAUCUUUUGUUUAUUCGCGUCAAAACAAUAUAUUUAUAAUCGAAUCCAUUUAUGACAUGUUCAUCUUUUAUAAAUUCAUUAAUUUUAUAUAUUUAAAAUUUAUAAAAGUUAAAUAUAUUUUUUCAAUUAUGAAUAUCAUAUUACUAAAAUAUUAAAUAACUAAUUAACUUGAAAUGUUUUAUAUUUCAUUAAUUAUUUUAUAAUUACAAAAUUAAGUGAAAUAAUAAAUAGGUUAAAAUAUAUAUUUUAUUUUAGUUAAAAAUUAUAAAUUGUUAUUGAGACACAUAACUACUAAAAUUCUACCCAUUUGACUAUCAAACAAACAACUUAAGUUUUUAGUCAUAAUUUAAGCUUAUGAUAAACUCUAUUUACAAAAAUUAGAAACCAAAAUCAAAUUCUUCCUAGACUCAAAAAUAUAAAGACAAUCUUUUAACUUUAGAAGAGAACUAUCAUCUAAGAUAAGGGUAACACAUCCCAUUGCCUGUACAACAAUUCUUGCUUCAAAAGCUAAUGUUAGGUACAUAUCCCUAUCAUUCAACCUUUCCCUUAGCUAAAACCCCUAUAAAGAAUUAUAAACAUGAUCAAUGGCUCCAAAAUUUAUCCACCAAGAGUUAGUGGAAUCUAAUACUAAACAUGAUUCAACUAAAAGAGAAUGAUGCAUACCUGACUGUCUCUUUAAGAACUAAGGGCAUUCCUUUUUCUAAUGGCCUUUUUUACCACAAAGGAAACAUUUGUCAUGACCCUUACUCUUCUUCUUCUUCUCUUGCCCUUGAACUUUCCCUUCUGUUUGGUGAAUUCUAUAAUGUUCUUAUUUUGGUUAGAAGAACCUAAAGAACACUUAACUGCCAUAUAAAUACCUCUCUGAUCCUUGAGAAUUCCCUCAAUCAUUUUGUGUUCUCUCAUCAGUUCGGUUAUAGUUUAAGAAAAAAAUUGUUUUUUUUAUGUGACUAAACUUGGAAUGAAUGUCCAAGUUGCAUACAUACUCGGGUUGAGAUCAAGUCAUAAUGUAGUUUAAGAAAAAUAUUUUUUAUUUUUUAUUUUUAUUUUUUAUCUGAUUGAACUUGGAAUGAAUUUCUAAGCUACUUACGUAUCCAGGAUGGGAUCAAGUUCUAACAUAGUCACAAUGCAGUUCAAGAAUUAUUUUUUUUUCUUUUUUUGUGCUCCAACUUUUGCCAAGACUAAAGAUCUUAAUUUUGCGAGCAUGUCCUAACUUUUGCCUAGGUCGCCUUUCCAAGUUUUCAAUUUAGCAAACUAGGUUUUUUUUUUUCUUUUUAGUUCUCUAACUUUUGCCAAGACUAAAGAUUUUAAUCUUGUAAGCAUGUCAUAACUUUUACAUAAGUCGAAUUUUUAGGUUUUCAUAGUGCUGGAUUUUUUUUUUGUUUUUUGUUUUUUUUUUGUGUCGUAGUCAAUUUAAGCUCAUAUGGGUUGGAAGCGAUGUGUAGUUUGUUGGGAUUGAGCCCUUAAAAGCAAGACAUGAUGUAAUAAAGUUAAACUUAACUAUCCCCUUACUAUCCUUUUGGUGUAUCAACAUUGAUUUAAACAUUCAACCCAUAUCUCUUACAUUGUAUAUGAUUUAGAAGCAUUAGGAGUUGUACAGAAGAUACAAGUUAUGUGUUCUUUGUAAGUAGGUGAGUUAUCCAUAGUCAUUUCAUGGAUUUGGGCAAUCUAGUAGAGACUAUAGUGCACCACCUCCUAAUUGAAGGGAUGACUUGUCUUGGCCGUUGGGAUGAGUUUCCUAUGGUGAGCGUACUAGUGUAUAUGAUGCACAUUGGAUAGGACCUAUGACAAAUCAUGAUGCAAGGCUAUCAAUUGUCAUGAUUCACCAAGUUACUAUACUACAUGGACUCUCAACCUUGAGAGGACAUUGAACCUGUGUCAAAAUCAAUAGAAAGUUUUGACCUAUGGGCGAGACCCUAAAGUAGUCAUAUAUCCUUAUGAAUUAGGUCAUUGUUGAUGGAGGCUAGUGAUAAUAGGCAUUCUCAAUAGAGGCACCAUGAUAUGUCAUGCGAUUGAGAUGGUGUGUCCCUUUGGGUGAUCCAAGGAACAUGUGAUCAUGAAAUUUGUGGCCACAGUAAUUCCUUUAGUGGAAUUUGACAUAUGCUCAAGGAUUUGAGAGAUAAUAUUGAUAGGUGAUAACACUAUCUUGUUAGAUUAUAGACACCAGUUUCAUGGGGAAUCUGCAUGUAGUGGAUAGUAGGUCAUGAAUGCGAGCUUUGUCUCGUUGUUAUUUACAUAAGGUACUGGAGUGUAGUUGAUUCUCUUUAGUAGAAUGUUAAAUCAACUUCAAAAUUGGAUUAUGAGGGAGCCAGUACUCCUAUGGGUCUCAAUGGUCCCCACUCUAAGCUUAUAUACCAUGAUGACAUAAUUUAUGAGGGUUGGAUUGGCUUUAGGUUCAUUCUUAUGCAUAAGGGCAUUUUGGUAAUUACUCAAGGUUGCAUAGGGGAUAAUAAAUAAGGUCUCUAGAUUGGACUAAUUGAUUAAUUAGAUGGCCUUAUGUGGUUAAUUAAUCAAUUAAGACAUGUUAGGGCUAGAUUAAGUGACUCAAGCCUUGAUGGGUUCAAGUCACUUAAGCCUAGUGGGUAACCGUAUAAAUACCCCCUUAUGGGUUAGGGUUUUCUAAUGACUUUUAGUUAGUCAUCUUCCACUUUUAGAAAAAUAGAGAGAGUCAAAGCUUCCUCCUUUCCACUGCCCACACUUUGGAAUGCCAAGAUCGUGGAUCGAGUCAUCGAACGAAAGAUCUUGGGUGUAUGAGACCUUCGAACUCUUUAGGCUUCUUCUUCGUUGGAUGGAUUUUGAUCUAGGAACAUCUAGAUCACAUGUAUGUGUUAUAAAAUUUGGUUAAUUCAACCUAAGGUAAUCAUCCUAGAGAAGGGGCGAAUAGGGUGAUGAUCUUUUUUUGAAAAUUUAAAUUAUGUGAAUGCAAGAGACAAUUAUAUGCAAAAUAUAUAGCAAAACCAUAUAAAAACAAUUGCAUAUAAAGUAAAAGGGUAAGGAAGAGAGAAAAUAAACACAAGAUUUUUAUAGCGAUUCAGUGCAACCCGACCUUCAUCCAUUCUCCUCUAGCUUCAAUCCCAAACUUGAGGUUCCACUAAUUUAAGGCUUCCAACCCAAGCCUUCAAGCAAUACAAUCGGAUUAUGGUUCCAAUCAAACCUCUUGAAAUUUUAGUUCUAAGCACAUUUUACAAUCUUCAAGAGAUACCUCACUCUUAAACAACUCCUUAAGUGAUACCCCACACUUGAGAAUCCCUAAGUGAUACCUCACACUUAGAUUUUUCAUCUCAAAGAUUUAUAAAUGAAGAUAGGAAAUUGUUAGCCCAAGGGCUCUCCUAAUCGGGUUUUGAUGAUAAAAAAUCAUGGUUAAAUGACUAAUUGGUUUAAUGGUUAAGAAUCUCAGGCAUAAACUUGAAAAUUCAUCAAAAGACCAAAUGGAUACAAGAUCGAGACGUUUGGAAGACUUGUGAUCAUAGGAAACUAAUGUAAGAUGAAUGCAUGAGUACACUUAGGAUUUUCAUACCGUUUCAUGCAAUUUAGAAAACUCGGUUUAUUCUUUAAAACUUCAAUUUCAUUAAAACUUGAGUUUUAACAAAUGUACCUUAGGCAAAAUGUUUUAAAAUUGGCAUAAUAAUUCACCUAAAAACCUUGCUUAAGUGUUAGAAAAGAAAGGAAUUGAAAAAUAUAGGUUUUCGGGGCCAAAAGGCUCAACCGAUCGAGGCUAUGACCAACCUGCUCAACCGGUUGGGGAAUCGGUCGACCGGUUGCCCCUGUCCGGUCGAGGUUCGAUAGAGGGAUGCACAAAAUUUUCUUUCUCUCCCAGUAGCCUUCUCUUCUCGGUCGAGGUCUGGUUGAGGACCGAUCAAGGUUCGAUCGAGGCAACGGUAACCUGUCAAGCAUUAAAUGUUCCAACGGCUAGUGAACCGGUCAACCCCUAGCUCGACCAGUUGAGGUUACCUUUUGCUGUUUUUGGCUCCCGAGCUUAGAAACCUAUAAAUUGAGAGCUCCACUUUAUUUAUUGACGAGAGAACACUUGCAAUCAAUUGUCUACCUACCUGUUCUUGAUCAAAAAACUCUCAUUUCUUUCUUUGUGCAUUAAAUCAUCACUUGCAUAUCCUUUAGUGCACUCUUAUGUGUCAUCCUAGCUUUGUCUUAUAUUUGAGCUAUCCUUAAGCUAGGUUGAGGGAUUCAUUCUUGUAAAAACUGAGUGUCAAAGCCUUCAAGAGGUUUAAAUCUUGAAGAGAUUGUGUAAGAGCCCAUUGGAGCCAGAAUCCAAGUGUAAGAAGAUUGGAAGCUUGGUUGAAGCUUCAAGUUAGUGGAACCCUCACUCGGUUAAAAGAUUGAGGAGAGUGGAUGUAGGGAAGGAAGUGUCGAACCACUAUAAAACCCAAGUUUGAAUUCUCUAACUCUAUCUCUUUAUUUUGCUUAUAUUGUGCUUGAACUCGUUGUGAUUGAAAAGAAUUUAAAAAACCCAAUUCAUCUCCCUCCCCCCUUUUAGGUGUUUUUCUUAAUUAAGCAUAGCAUUUAUUUUCUCAAUUGGUAUCAGAACUAGACCUCUUGUUUUUUUUUUUUUUUUAAAAAAAAAAAUUAAUCGUCUAAGAGGAUAUGACUAUUGCAUCAAGCUCAUCUCAAGCUAAAAUUUUUUCAAAACAUAGAGCUUCAUUCUUUACGGGAUCCGACUAUCCCUAUUGGAAAACUAGAAUGACUUGGUACUUACAAUCUACUGAUUUAGAUGUAUGAGACGUCAUUGAAGAUGGCCUAACUUUUCCCACUAAACUAGUUGAUGGAGUUUUGGUUCCAAAACCCAAGCAAGAAUGGAAUGAGCUUGAUAGAAAAAACUUUCAAUUAAAUGCUAAAGUCGUUUUUACUUUGCAAUGUGCUAUGGAUAGAAAUGAAUAUAAUAGAAUAUGUCAAUGCAAAUCGGCUAAAGAAAUUUAGAGGUUGCUUGAAAUAACUCAUGAAGGAACUAAUCAAGUGAAAGAGUCAAAAAUUAAUUUACUUGUUCAUAACUAUGAAUUGUUUUCAAUGAAAAAAAAUGAUACUAUUGUUGAGAUGAUUACUAGGUUCACCGACAUUGUCAAUGGUCUUGAAGCUUUGGGAAAAACCUACAAGGAAUCCGAGAAGGUGAUGAAGAUAUUGAGGUCUUUCCCAUCAAAGUGGCAUACCAAGGUCACUGCAAUUCAAGGAGCAAAAGACUUGACUAAGCUACCUAUGGAAGAGCUCAUAGGGUCAUUAAUGACAUAUGAGAUCAAUUUGACAAAGAAGCUACAAGAGGGUAAAGACAAAAAGAAGAAGAACAUAACCCUCAAAGCUAUAACCAAGGAAGAAGAAGAUGUUGAAGAAGAAAAACCAAGUGAUGAAGAUGAUGAUUUAGCCCUCAUCACAAGAAAGCUCAACAAAUACAUGAGAGGUGAAAGGUUUAGAGGAAGAAAGUUCACCUCUAGAAGAGAUCCUUCUAAAAAGGAAUCUUCAUCCCAUGGUGACAAGGAGAAAUGAGAAGAUAAAAGAGAUUUGAUAUGCUUCAAAUGCAAAAAACUGGGACACAUUAAAUAUGAUUGUCCACUCUACAAGAGUGAAGCCAAGAGAAGAAUGAAGAAGGCAAUGAUGGCCACUUGGAGCGAAAGUGAAGAAUCCUCCGAAGAAAAAAAGGAGAAGGAAGUAACAAACAUGUGCUUCAUGGCAAUAGAUGAUCUUGAUGAGGUAAACUCUAACUUUAGUGAUGAAGAUAUGUAUGAUGUUUUUGAAGAAUUAUAUGAGGAUUUUGAAAAACUUAGUUUGAAAAAUAAUUCUCUUAAAAAUAAAAUUCAAGAACUUGAAAAAGAACUUGAAGAAGUAAAAGAAAAAGUUUCAAUUGUUGAAAUAUCUAAAACUCAUCUUGAAAAAGAAAAUAAGAUUUUGAGAAGUGAAAAUGAGAUUUUGAAAAAGAAAAAUGAAUGGUUGACCUCCUCUCUUUCAAUUUUCUCUUGUGGAAAAAAAUAUUUUGAAAUGAUCUUAGUUAGCCAAAAAUGUAUUUUUGACAAACAAGGGUUAGGAUUCAAAUCUUCAAAAAAUCAAAAGUAUUUUAAAAACUACUUUGUAAAAGAAUCCGCAAGUGUAAGUCAUUCUACCACUUGCAACUUUUGUAGAAGAGGAGGAGACAUUAGUAGUACAUGUCUCUUAAGAAAUGGUUCUCAAAAGAAUUCAAAUGCUAAAGCUAAAAAGGUUUGGGUUGAGAAAUCCAAAGUCACUAACCCUCAAGGACCCAAAAAGAUAUUGGUACCUAAAUCAACUUAAAUUUUAUUUUGUAGGGUUCAAAGAAGGAUAAGUGGUUCUUGGAUAGUGGAUGCUCAAGACACAUGACCGGGGAUGAAUCCAAGUUUGUUUUCCUUACAAAGAGAAAGGGAGGAUAGGUUACCUUUGGAGACAAUGCAAAAGGAAGGAUCAUUGGUCAAGGCAACAUUGGUAAUGACACAUCCUCUCUUAUUGAAAGUGUUUUAUUAGUGGAUGGUUUAAAACAUAAUCUUUUGAACAUAAUUUAACUUUGUGACAAAGGUUUUAAAGUGAUUUUUGAAGCAUUUCAUUGCAUUAUCAAAGAUAUUCAAAAUGAUAAAACCAUCUUCAUGGGCCAUAGAUGUGAUAAUUUUUAUGCUAUAAAUAUUUCAAAUAUGAUGGCCAUGGUAAAUGUUUUUCAAGCAUGCAUGAUCAAAGUUGGUUGUAGCAUAGGAGGUUGGGACAUGCUAACAUGGACCUCAUUUCCCAACUCAACAAAGAAGCACUUGUUAGAGGCCUUCCCAAAAGAAAUUUUCAAAAAGACAAAGUUUGUGAAGCUUGUCAAAUGAGAAAGCAAAUCAAAAACUCUUUUAAAAACAAAAAUUUCAUUUCAAUAACUAGGCCUGCAUAUGGAUUUAUUUGGUCCCUCUAGGACACCAAACCUUGGAGGAAAAUCUUAUGCAUUUGUUAUUGUGGAUGACUUCUCUAGAUACACUUGGGUCUUAUUUUUAAGUCAAAAGAAUGAAGUCUUUUUUGAGUUUUCAAAGUUUUGCAACAAGGUUCAAAAUGAAAAAGGUUUUACAAUUUCUUGUAUAAGAAGUGAUCAUGGAGGAGAGUUUGAAAAUAUUGAUUUUGAAGACUAUUGCAAUGAGCAUGGUAUUAACCACAAAUUUUUGGCUCCUAGAACUCCUCAACAAAAUGGGGUAGUUGAAAGGAAAAAUAGAACUCUUCAAGAAAUGGCUAGAACCAUGCUAAAUGAAAACAAUUUACCAAAAUACUUUUGGGCCGAAGCAAUUAACACUUCUUGUUAUGUUUUAAAUAGAAUUUUAUUGAGGCCUAUUCUUAAAAAAACUCCCUAUAAGCUUCGGAAAAACAAGAAACCCAACAUUAGCUAUUUCAAAGUCUUUGGGUGCAAAUGCUUUAUAUUAAAAACCAAAGACAAUCUUGAAAAUUUUGAUGCAAAAUCGGAUGUUGGAAUUUUUCUUGGUUACUCAACUUUAAGUAAAGCCUUUAGAGUUUUUAACAAAAGAACCAUGGUUGUUGAGGAGUCCAUCCAUGUUAUUUUUUAUGAAUCUGACAAUUCUCUCCAAGAAAGAGAGAGCUUUGAUGAUGAUUUAGGCUUGGAGACCUCCAUGGGAAAAUUACAAAUUGAAGAUAGAAGGCAACAAGAAGAAGUUGUAGAGGAUCCCAAGAAAGAAGAAUCACCUUUGGCACUACCUCCUCCUCAACAAGUGCAAAGUGAAUCAAGCUAAAACCUUCCUAAAGAUUAGAAGUUUGUCAUCAACCACCCACAAAAUCAAAUUAUAGGUAAUCCAUCUAGUGGGGUAAGAACUAGAUCAUCUCUUAGAAACAUUUGCAAUAAUCUUGCUUUUAUCUCUCAAAUUGAACCUAAAAAUAUAAAUGAUACUCUAGUUGACGAAAAUUGGAUGAUUGCUAUGCAAGAAGAGUUAAAUCAAUUUGAAAGAAGUGAAGUAUGGGAAUUAGUGCCAAGACCUCAAAAUCAAAGUGUUAUUGGAACUAGAUGGGUCUUUAGAAAUAAAAUGGAUGAAAAUGGCAUAAUUAUAAGGAAUAAAGUAAGAUUGGUAGCCCAAGGUUUUAAUCAAGAAGAAGGGAUAGAUUAUGAAGAAACCUUUGCUCUCGUAGCUAGAUUGGAAGCCAUUAGGAUGCUACUUGCCUUUGCACGUUUUAAAGACUUUCUUUUAUAUCAAAUGGAUGUGAAAAGUGCUUUCUUAAAUGGCUUUAUAAAUGAAGAGGUAUAUGUUGAACAACCACCCGGUUUUCAAAGUUUUAACUUUCCUAAUCAUGUUUUUAAACUUAAAAAUGCACUUUAUGGUUUGAAACAAGCACUUAGAGCAUGGUAUGAAAGAUUGAGUAAAUUUCUUUUGAAAAAGGGUUUUAAAAUGGGAAAAAUUGACACAACUCUUUUCAUAAAAAUAAAGAAAAUGACAUGCUCUUAGUGCAAAUAUAUGUUGAUGAUAUCAUUUUUGGAGCUACUAAUGUCUCUCUUUGUGAAGAAUUUUCUAAAUGCAUGCAUAGUGAGUUCGAAAUGAGCAUGAUGAGAAAACUUAACUUCUUCCUUGGACUUCAAAUCAAGCAACUAAAGGAAGGAACCUUCAUCAAUCAAGCAAAGUAUAUAAGAGAUCUCCUCAAAAGGUUCAAUAUGGAGGAAGCGAAAACAAUGAAGACUCCAAUGAGUUCAUCCAUCAAGCUUGACAAGGAUGAGAAAGGUAAGUCCGUUAACUCAACUAUGUAUAAAGGCAUGAUAGGUUUUUUGCUAUAUUUGACCGCUAGUAGACCUGACAUCAUGUAUAGUGUAUGCUCGUGCGCUAGAUUUCAAUCUUGUCCUAAAGAAUCUCACUUAAGUGCCGUAAAAUGAAUUCUUAGAUAUUUAAAAGAGACAAUGGACAUAGGCCUAUGGUAUCCUAAGAGUGAUAACUUUGAAUUAAUUGGAUUCUUAGAUGCCAACUUUGCCAAUUGUAAAGUUGAAAGGAAAAGCACUAGUGGCACUUGUCAUUUCCUAGGACACUCACUUGUUUCAUGGCAUAGUAAUAAGCAAAAUUCGGUAGCCUUGUCAAAGGCGGAAGCAGAAUACAUAGCAGCUGGUUUAUGUUGUGCACAAAUCCUUUGGAUGAAACAAACACUUAGUGAUUUCAAUUUGAUUUUUGAGCAUGUUCCUAUUAAACGUGAUAACAUUAGUGCCAUAAAUAUUUCAAAAAAUUUGAUGCAACACUCUAGGACUAAGCAUAUAGAGAUUAGACACCAUUUUCUUAGAAAUCAUUUACAAAAAGGUGACAUUACACUUGAAUUUGUAAGCACAAAAGAUCAACUUGCCGAUAUUUUUACAAAACCUCUAAGUGAAGAGCAAUUUUUUUAUAUUAGAAGACAACUAGGGGUGAUUUCUUUAUAAUCAAAUGAUUACUUGAUGAAUUCUUGAUUGAAUAUACCUUAUGAUUGCGUGAAUUUCACAUCAUAUGCAUCAUAUAGAAAUAAUCUUAGGAAAAAGGUCAAAUUUUGACCAAAAAUCAAAAUUCCCUUGGCAUUGGAUAUCAAAAAUUGGGGAUUUCAACUGAAAAGGGCAAGGGAAGGAUCACGAGACAAGCAAAAGCCAAAAAAUUAGAGCGUUGACCAUUGACCAUUGACCAUUGACCAAGCGGUUCGUCGGGGCUGGGAAUUUAAAGAGACCCCCGCGCUUUAUUUUUUUCACUAUUCCCCUCAAUUCCUUGAAAACUCUUCACAUACCUGCUUCCAGAGACCACUUUGGGUUGAAUCUUGGACCAUUUGAAGGGCUUGGAGUUGUUUUUGGGACGUUUUUAAGACUAGGGUUUCAAUCUGAAACCUAAGGUUUCCAUUUUUAGGAGCAAUUCCUCUCAGACCACGUGCAUCAGCCAGGCUCAACUCCUUCUCCUUGCGCUUAGGGCUUCCGGUUGGAUUUCAUUCUCUCUUGUUUGGUUUCAUUCUCUCUUCAAACUUCUUUUUCUUCAUUUUCCGUUCUUUGGAUGGCGCCUAGGAGAGAGACAACUACCUCUAGGGCUCAGGGCAAGCGCCCUGCUGAGCCAUCUCAACCUGAGCAGAUGGAGGCUCACCGAAAGGCGAGGUAUGACACGACCCUCUGUGGACCCGCAUUUUUCACGUGCGUCCCCACUCGAUCGGCGAGACUCGCUUUUUAUUUGUGAAAAAUUGAUCUUUAAAAAAAAAAAAGUUGGAGUCGCCACCUAUUUUAUUUUUAUUUUGAAGGGAAAAUAAAACAAGAAAGAAAAACCCUAAAAAGUGACUCCAUGGUUUUGGAAAAAGCAUGUCUUUGAGAAACCCGAGUCUAAGUCCGGGGAUCAGGUUACUUAUUGGGAAGGUACCUCUAGGAGGUAGCACCCCUCUAAGCCCUAAAAAGGUCUCUACUGACUAAGUUAAGGGAAGCGUGGCAAUUAAAUGGUUGAUCAUGGAUACCUAAGUAGGCUAGGUGAUUCCAAAAACAUAACAUAUCAAACAAGAUCAAAUCACAAUUAAGGAGAGUUAAAAAUGCGUACCUGGACGGCUUCCCAAACGCUAUCAUAAAACAUAAGAGAUUAGUUUGGAGAUACAUCACACAACAUUUGUUUUACUCAAGCAAAUCAGGCAUAUAUCAAGACAUUCAAGAAUCACGUCAAAUAUGGAUAUGGUCAUCAAUGACAUACAAGUCCAUAGAAUUCUCGAAAAAAGGAUGAAAAUGAGCGUACCUGGAUAGCAAGCUAGAGCGCCUUUAUGGGAAACAAGGUUAACCCAAUAACAAAUUCAAGCAUAUCUCCAAGAAGAAUCAAAAUCAAUUGAAUACCAAAAAAUCAUCUUUAAAAUCAAUAUUAGUGAAGAUAUUAGGAAUGUAGGACCCCCCACCAAAGUCCAUAUUACUUUUGCACGAAUUGAUUCAAUGAAUUCCAUUAUUUGGAAUCGUGAAGCUUAUUCAUGCUUGUCAAAAAUCGAGAAAAUCAUAAAAUAGUUGAAGAUGAUGAAAAUGCAUGCCGGAAGGGAAAAUGGCAGCAAAUAGUAUGUUAAAAUUUGGAUUUUAUGCCUAGAGACUUCUCAGGAAUUUUAAAUAAAACUAGAAUUAUUUUUUACGGGAAAAGAUUUUGAAAUCCAGAUUUAAAAUGUGUAAGAUAACAAAAAGAAUAAGGAGAAACAUUAGGAGUAUGGUGUGUGGCAAGGUGACCACUAUAUGAGUGAGGUCUGGAGGUGCACUUGAGACUAAAUGGUUGAAACAGAUUGCAUAGGGAGCAUUCUGUACACCACUAGUUGUCUAGAAAGAAACUGAAUGUGUUCGUUUCCGAGCCCAUGUUCACCGGAGUUUAGGGUGCCACCUCAUUUAAAAAAAAGGGCUUCAAUACAACUCUAGUUUCUCAAGAUCACAAUCUGAAUUAUCAACAGAAGCUUCUGGUGAAGACAUAAUGCUCAAUUUCAGAUUAAAUUUCCUGUUCUAUAACUCGUUUUCUCUGAAUUUUCCUUUAAUGUCUGUGCUUUCUGAUCAUAUAAGUUGCCCGUCUGGUUCCUUGUUUGAGACUCUGCCGAACCUGGAAUAAUGCUUCUAGGUCUAGCUGAGGGGACCUACACCCCUUUUCAUGGAACCUGAGGCAUGCGUUAAUUCGAAACUCUAUUACUUUGCCUUCCAUUGCUUUAAGUCUUUUAGCCAUCUCAGCCACAAAUCUGGAGAUUCAUUUAUCUUUCUUUAAUAUUCAAGCCAAAUGUCAAUCCAGUCCGCUUAAACCCCGAUUUGAAUGAUUUUGAACCCUCUUUUUGCGCUCUUGAUGUUUUUCAUUUCAACUACAAUGACAAACCACCCUUCGAAAAAAGAAGAAAUCUGGACCAAAUCCUAAACUUUUAAUUCACAACUUCUUGAGCCUGACUCUGAGUCGACACAAUUGAAUCACCUUGGAUAAGAGUGCUUCUAAAAAUCCUCCAGAAUGUAGGCACAAGUGCAGCGUUCGUUAAUAAUGUCCAUGGCAUGUCACAAAGGAAAGCUUCUUUUUUUAUAAUCAUCAACGCAAAUUGACUCUUAAUGGACCCCAUUGCCAGCGUCACAUCAAAGACUGGACAGAUAGGGAGAUUCACAAUUUCGAUAGCUAUCUUUGCAUUAUUUGGGCAGGGCAACCAUGUUAUGGAUAUAUAGCUCGAAGGUGACUUGCGUUUUGUUCUGUAUCAUCAGUAGCAGCCUCAAACCCGCCAUAGGUUUGAGUGGUAUUAAAAGACUCAACAUGAUCAGCUGUAGGUGAUCGAGCAGCCAAUUCAUCAUUGAGCAAAUCAAUAAAAGCUUGGAUAUCGUUGCCGAGUGGCCUAAAAUCAUUAGAUAAAUCAUUAAAGUCAUUAAGUAUAUUACUGAUCUCCAUGAAAACCCUCCUCCUUGCUUCUGUAGAGCGAACACAAGCUGCCACUAAAAUUGGUUAGCCCGGAUUGCUAAUUUAUGCAUCCAAUCACCAUCGAUUUCUCUUGUCCUUUUUGGAACUUCUGGAAUAUGGAUGAAACCUGUGAAGAAUGUGGUGGAAUUGCGGUCUGCAAGCACGAAGUUUCCAGUUACUUGAAAUGCUUCGAAAUCAUGGUUCCAGUUUACAUCUACAGGCAUUGGCUCAAGUAAGUUCGUAUCAGCUUGGGUGGCUUUCGAUUCCAAAAGCUCUAACAACAACAUGAUUCUCAAAUAUCCGAACAGCAAUGUCCAAAAUUGAAUCAAGAAAAUUCUUUAGCAGCAGUAUGUGUUGUCCCUGCUGGAGCCAUCACAGGAGCAACUAAGCUAACUGCCAAAAAGGUUCUAGCCAGUGAGAUCCCAUUCUGACGUUUCGGUUUUGGUGACUGAUAGCUUUCUAAUUGUCCCUGCAAAUAAUGUAAACCAAUAGUUCCAUUGAAUGGAUUGUCAUCCAGAGCAAGGAUCCGAAUACUUGUAAGGCCAUCAACGAAAUCAGCGAGGGUGGUGUCGACUUCGUUGUAAUCGAAGAAGGCGAGUUGCAAUUCAGACAAUCUGCGAGAAGAAGGCAAUUUUCCAUUGAAGUGGUUCAUCUGAAACCCCAAAUUGCAGAGCAUUGAAAGCUGGUUGAAGUUUUGAGGGAGAGGUCCCUUUAAUCCCAAUCCCUUAACUUGAAUCUGUGUAACUCUGUCACCACUAUAAAAUACACGAGGCCACAAAUUUGACUCCACCCGUUGGCUCCUUUCCUUCAUUCAUUCGCUUUAACAAGUCACAUUUAAUUCCAAAGAAUAUUAUAUAAUCUUCAAGUAUGUUCAAAUCAGAGGGCUCUAGUCCGUUAACCUUUACACUCUCUAGCAGGUUCUGUUCUUGUCUCUUCCUAUUAUACAGAAGUUCAAGCAAGUUUCAUAAAGCCUGAAUUUCUACACGUAGCCACUACUGGGGUCAGGUUUAUCCAAGUGUGCUGCUCCAACAGAAUUAUCGAUGUGUCAGUUUCUCUAAAAAUCACCUUGUGAAUCAAUCCACAAUACCGAGGCAUCCCAUCAUCAGAACUUCCUAAGCUUUCAGCAAGUAGGCAAGCAUUUAUGCUUGAGUCAACUCUACCGAUGACAACAAACCCAUCCAAAUCAAACUUCAUAGCUGUUUCUUCUUUUCCAUUAAUAUCAACUGGUAUCCUUUCUAAAAGAAUGCUUUUCUUAUGACGACAUGACAGUAAAACCCUUUUGCGAGAAUGGCUCAGAGUUUUGAUCAUCAUCUGAUUCUAUUGUAUUACUGGAAUGAUUGCUUUGGUAAAUGGAAUUCAACAGAAUCCACACAUUCAUGACUCUAAAAUUCAGCUUACUAGCAACCAGAUGGAACACACAUUUUCUGGUUCAGGCAUUCGUUUCUGGUCAGAUUCAUGGUAUCUUAGCGGUGCAACAGACGAUGCAGCAACCUCUUCUAGAGUGCCUUUUAUGAGCCUCAAGAGCAAAGGCCAAUGAUAGAUGAAGCGGUCCCUCUGCACUACUUGGGCUUCUGAUUCAGAAGUUAUCAUGAAGCCAACGAACAAGCAGAGUGAACGCAUUUGCAGUCAACCUUAAAAUUUCUAAUAUUGUCAGCAGGCCUGAUGGUAAAAAAACGAAAGUAGGGGAGCCUUAUUCAAGAGGAUCAUUGCGAACACUGUCACGUGUUAUUGGUGAGCUUGUUGGCAUCUUGUUUUGGGCAGAAUAAUGAGAUCCUUCAGUUAAUUAGAGAUCCAUAUCAACUAAACACCAGAAUCAUGGAUUUCCCAUGCUUUCUACUGGACAACGAUUGUCAGUUCUUUCUCUUGUUCACUUCUACUGGCAGUGGCUUGACUCUCCAACAAAACCCCUGAUGCACCCUGUAGCUCCUCAUUUAAUUCUGGAUUCUUAUCAGCAUCGCUUUCUUCUCCCUUUUGAGACUCUUGGAGUAUGAAAAAGAAAACUUGUGAAGAAUAAGGUGGAAUAUCCCAGCAAUGCAGUAUGGUAGGACCCAUUUGAGGGGGAACCCUGCAUUCAUCACUCUCACCUCCAGUAGCAUUAGAUGCUUGCUGGACCCAAUUCAGCCAGUCUCUGCAUAUUGACUCUCAAUAUAAACGUUUAGAAAUAACAAUGACUUCAUUUCUACUGCCUUGUUUAGACCUUCCUUGAUCAAUGUCUACCUUCAUUUCUCACAAAUUCUGGUUCUACUAUUAAAGUUCUGCCCCCAGUCCGUUUUGCAAAGCAUAAGCUAAUUUUAUAUUUGUAUAAUUCCAUCUUAACACACAAGUCCGUCGUAGCCUUUCCUGAGAAGUUAGAGAAGUUGCUUUUCUGAUAUAAAAAAGCCUUUCAGAACCAUGCUGAAGCUCUGAAUGUUGAUAGUUUUCCAUUGCAACUGAUAUGAGCUCCUCAUCGGUAGUGUCACAAGAAUGAUUCCAUGAGAAGUUUCUUGUUGCAUCACCUUUUUUAUGUAUUCCAACCCCAACUGUUGAGUUUCUUGAAAUUGAAACUACGGAACUUAGUUAUUUUGAAUUGUUUGCAUCUGUAGUGAUAAAUCACUGGAAGAGACAAUCAUAAUUUAGGCACUUGAUUUCCGUUUCGGUCGAACUAACAGCUUCGUAACUGUUAAUCUCAAGGUCAGAUUCAUGCUCUUGUUUCUCAAUUUCCUCUUCCCAUGAGAAUUUUUUUCAUAACAAUCGAAUGAAUUCUUAUAACUCCCAAAAGUUUCUAGCUUUUGCUGAUCAUGGAGGUGCCUCACAAUACUUGUCAUUAUACUCACUUUGGAAUUUUUCUGGUCCAUGUUCACUUUGAAUGAAUGUAUCCCUAAAGGGGGUAUUCAAUGACUGCCCAUAAUGAGUUACAAGUUCCCCAAAAUAGAAUAUAAUGAUCGUCGGCCUUACAGUACUGCUGUUUUAAAAUUUUCUGCUCGCUGAACAGUCAUAGUUCAAACCAUCAAUAUCAAAAGGCUUUCCCAGGCACUCAUCUUCAGAACCAUAAGGCCAGCAAGUCUGCAACCGUUUGAGUUGGGUAAAAAAGAAAGUCCUAAGCAGUGGAAGUGCACAGCAUGAUGCUGUCAAGUUUCAAUAACUUAAAUAUUGGCCAACUUAAGCCAGACCAUAUUCCUCAAAAAUCCAUUCUUCCUCUGCUCAUGUAAACUUGUAAUGCUGUCAGAAAUCCUGUCUUCAGAAUAGCAACCCUGACAAUUGAGUAUGGAAAGCAGAAUACCCAUGUGCUUCCAACUAAGCUUUUUACAACCAUCCUCAUAAACUGAGGCGUGCCAUUCUAAAGAAAAGGCAGAGUCUUUUAGAAAUCACAAUACUUCUGAAGCAGCUUGAAUUAGCAUAUUGCAGUAAUUGGAAGUCGGAUUGACUGAAACAGGGGCUCGAACGCAUCCAUCUGUAAAUCUUACAGACCGACCACCCUCAGAGAAAAGGUCUCCAAAAAAAAGGCUUCAGCUUCAUGACAAACAGCAUUCUCUGUUUCAGAGUUGCAACUGCCCCUGUUAUACUACUCCUGUGCACUUCAGCAUUUAUUCUUUAGUUAUACCGUCCCUUUAGAUAGCAUCUAUCCCACACCGUGAAGCAAGCAAGGUUCACUAUAAUAGGAUCUAGUAGCAGCAACAAACGGGUGAUCCUGGAGAUAUUUUAAACUCAACUUCAUCAACAUCUUCAGCGUGCACUUCUGUUGGAACACAAGCGAUAGUAGCAGUGAAAAAAAAAGUGUUGUACUGAUCCCGUUAGGAUUGCAGCCCAGAAUACCACGAACAGAGAGCCCCAAAAAUUGAAGCAACUCUGCAUCCAACUAAAUCACAUCUAGAACCCGGUUUAACGACUUUCUUGUCUUGAAGAGGAAAUACCCAAUCUGACUCAACAAUCUGUUAUCAUGUGCCAAACCCCACAAACAGCCCACAUUCUACGCAGCCUUUAUAAAGUCUCUACCUUUCAUGAAAUACUCAUGCCAUCAUUGUCUCCAUAGCCCAGAACACCAAAGUAAAGAAGAGGAAGAAGCGUAGAUAUAGAAGCACAAAAAAAGAAACCGAACAAAGAAAGAAAAAAAAAAAAAAAAAACGAAAACAGGGGAAUGGAAGGCAAUGGGUGGGAAAUCUGAAUAAGUCACAUUUCAUUAUUUUCAAAAGGGCUUUGAAGAAUCUGAACACAUUAGGACAAGCUUAGUUAAAAUUAUAUCAGGAUUCCACAAACAUUAAAAUUCAAACAUAAGUCUCUGUUUCAGCUAUUUAUAAAAAGAAUCAAAGAAAUCAAGAACACAAUCAUAAUAGAGCAAGUUUGAAGGAAAUUUCGAUUCAACAACGCAAAUAAAUGGCCCUCAAUGUCCACUCCAAUCAGCAAGAACAACUUCCCGAAAACAGCCAGAGAAUCUCAAGUGAAUGUAAACGGGAAUACCAAAAUAAUAAAAAAAAUAACAGGAAGCGUACCUGGCAGAACCUUGGCUGCAAUCUCCCUCUCUUUCUGCUCUUCUCUCCGCACUUUUUCUUCAAGAUCUCUCUUUUUCUCCUUUUUCUCCUUUCUUUCUUUUCUUUCCUUCUUCCUUUUCUUUCCUUCUCCCUCUCAAGCCCAAAAAUCCUAUCUCUCCCUCCGGAUCUCUCCAAAAAAAAAUCCCCAUGCGUGCUGCCAGUCCCACUUUUCAAAAAGAAAACAUCUUGCUGAAAAGGAAAAUCCUACUUCCUUUUCUCCUUUCUUUCCUUUCUUUCUUUUCUUUCCUUCUUCCUUUUCUUUCCUUCUUGUAGCCGAUCCCCACAUGGAAGAAGUAUAUGUGCUGUCCCUCUAAAAAUCAAAAUCUCCUCUUUUCAAAAUUCCGUUGAUUUUCCUUCCAAAUAAAUGGCGGUUCGUUUCCUCAUGCCCAAAAAAUAAAUAAAAUAAAAAAAUAAAAAUAAAAAAAAUAAAAAAUAAAAAAUUAAAAAAAUUAAAAACAAAAAUAAAAAAAAAUCAAUCACAUGCAAGCCAUACGAGCUAUGUAACCACCAAAGGAAUAUGAGUUAUGCAACCAUGCAAAAACACGAGCCAUGCAACCAUGCAAACCAUGCAAAAACAUCUAAAGGUGACCUAGGGUGUGUCCUAGUGCGCUAGGGCAAACGAAAUGGACUAAGUGUGCUUAAAAGCUAUCCUAAAAAAAAGAAAAGCCUACGACUAAGUUAGGGCUGCCAAGGGUCACAAUAAGGGAUCAAAUAAUCCCUCAACCAAAAUCUCCGAGGUGACUCAGAAAAAGGUUAGUGGUAUGAGUAGCCAUGGGCCACCAAGGAACUAUGGGGCACUGAAAACGAAUUUAAAGACAUGUGCUAAAGGGACAAAAUUGAGGGUCUACACCCUCUUCAGUUCUGUUGAAGAUUAUCAAAGAUACAAGCAAAAAUUCUCCCAGAGGAAACUAGGGAGAAAUAUCAAUUUCUCCCAACUUUAGUACUUCGGGUUUGAGGGACUCUUUAGUCGGAUGGGAUAACUGCCAGUUGUGAUGAUUUUCGAGCCGAUCUUCCUGACUCUGGUGCGGGCAUUUUAUUCAUAGGUGACUUAUGGACUUGGAGGACCAGUCAUGUCCACUAUUAGAGGUGUUGAGAUCAGACUGAGCCCGGAGAGCAUUUUCCGCAUUCUCGACAUUCCUUUAGUUGGACUCCGGGUGUAUGAGUCCAAGGUUUGGCCCACUGUGCCGGGAUUCGAGCCUAGAGAGGCUAUUCAGAGGCUGUGCGGACUUGUAGAUGCUGAGGGGAUGGACAAACCAUCGGCACAUAGCCUGACCGUGACCAGCCAAGUCCUUCAUCACAUGAUUUGCUCCUAUUGCCACAAGGCGGGUAUCGAGAUGAGAUUUCCUACCUGGAUGCUUUCAUAGUGGACACCAUUCUAAUGGGGAGAUGGAUUCAUGUAGGGUAUUUGAUGAUGAUGCAUAUGAUAUCCUACUAUGAGAGCACGACCCGAGUACUCCCCUACAGACGCUUCCUCACUCGAGUAUUCAAGGAUGUCGGGGUCGAUUUGAGUAGAGAGACGAACUUCGAGGCCCUUACUAGCUAUGAUACUUACGAUGAGCAGUCCUUGGAGCGGAUAAAGUUUGAGAAGGCCCUCGAUGGCUCCUGGAUUAGGAGAGUUGAGCGAGCUCCAGCAUAGGCCCGGGGACAAGGAUAGAUGCAUCCCGGAGUAGAGGAGGAGGCUGAGAUCAAAGAGAUGGAGGAUGGGUUAGACCCAAGGAUUGAAAUAUCGAUAAAUAUGGAUAUAUCGGUACUUGGAUUUUACGGAUAUAUCGGAAAUAUCGGAGAAAUAUCAAUGGAUAUUUUUCAUCAAAUAUCGGUGAGACAAAAAUUAUCCAAAAUUGAUGGGAAUGCUUAGAAAAAUCCAAAGAAUGAUAAAAUAAGCAAGAAUAUACAUGUUAAAGUUAUUUUAUGAGUGUAAUUGACAUAAAUAUGGUAUAAAAAAAAUAUAUAUCGGUAAACAGUUUACGAUACUUGGAUUUUAAGAAAAGAAAAUAUGAAAUUUGGAAUUGUACACUUAAAAAGUUAGAAUUGAGUUAAGAAAUAUUUGAUUUUAUUAAAUGAAAAAAAUUUACACAUAAACAUAAUACAUAUGACAUUGCAAUGGUCCUUAAUACCAAAAUGAAGAUCGAUGUGGUUCCAUCAUAUUGUUAUUGUUAGAUGAAGGGAGCCCAUCUUGUUGAAGACAAUAUUCAUACCAGGACAUGGAGUUUCGAUAGUAUUGAUUGUAUGUACUAACAUGCCAUGCAUAAAUUUCUUGAGUCCUACCGACAACCUGUCCAUGGAUGGGAAAUCCAGGGUUUUCCCAUGUGCUCGUUUGAAAUCCUUGUUGUUGCAGCUGAUGUAGAAGGUAGUAUGGAAUUUGUGUGGAAGAAUGAUAGUUAUACCUUUCAUACUCUUCAUCAGUGGAACUUGAAAGAUUUUGAGGAGGCUGACCAUAACUCAUUGCAUAAGGGGCAUAAAUGUUGGCUUCAUUUGAUGAAUCACUUAAUUGAGUCUCUACACUCAUCGACUCAAAACUGGCCGACAAUGAGUCCUCGUUGUAUGGCAUCAUCCUUCGUUGUCUUCCUCUAUAUGGCUUUCCAAUGGCUCCAACACCUGGACCGGCUCUUCUAGAGCCGUGGUCUUCAUCUUGAGUACAAUGUGUGAAAUCAUCUUCACUAAUAAAUGCCAAUGGUUGUCCACUUUGUUGAUGUUGUCUAACAUCCCCUUCAUCAUUUUCAGGGUCGCUACCAUCAUUGGUCCCCUCUCCUCUUGAAUCAUCAUAACCGGAAGCGGAAGUACCAGUAGCACUAGGUCUACUACUAUGUUCAACACUCGUGGGGUCAAAAGAAGGUCGAGAAGUGACUACCAGCUGAGAAAUUCCUUGUCGAAAUGAAUCUUUCGUGUCUUGGUUGAAACUAUCAAUAUGAACUUCUUCGGAUAACACUUGAUCAACAUCAACACCUGCUUCUCGGACAUGUGCGGCAAUUCGUGGGUCGAGAUUUCCAUCUUCAUCAUCUAAAUGAAGAGGUCUAACCCAUUGAAACAAUUGGUUAUCUUCUUCUUCACCAGCCUCAGUUGCAAUAUCAAGUAAAUCAAGGUAAUCUUUCUCUGAAACUUUGUCAUGUUCUGCUUCCAUGUCACGUAUCUUUAGUUUCAUGUUAUAAUAAUAGAAAACUAAUUGUUAGAGCAUCGGGUAAGCAAGCUGAUUUCUUUGUUUUGUAUGAAUUAUGGAAAACAUGCUCCAAUUUCUCUCACAAGCUGAAGAUGAUGCAGUUUGCGAUAAAACCUUGAUGACCAACCUUCUUAAUGUAGGAGUGUGAUUUCCAUACAUGAACCACCAUUCAACUACAACCAAAUAAAUGAUAUCAAUACUUAUAUUGGAAAGCUAUAAUAAUAUGCUAAUGAAAUGAAUUAUUAAUUCACAAAUAAUACUCACCGAGAACCAUUUCUAACCUCGAAGCAAUCACUGUUUGAUCACCGAAUCCUCUUUUUGCAUCUCGGAAUAGUAUAAUCUACAUAUUAAAUAAUUGAAAGUGAAAAAGUUGAGUAAAUGAAAUUAAAUUAUUUAAUUUAUAUUAUAACUCUAAUAAUUUACCUCAUUUCCAAAUUGACUAAAACCUUCUGAUGUAGGAUCUAAUUUCGCAAAGACUUCAUGGACAACUUGAAGUAGAUCAGGAUCAGUACCAACUCCAUGUUUAUAUUGAAAUCUUGGAUUAAGAAAGAAUGCUACAAUAGUAAAAUAGAAAUGUAAAAUUAGAAUGUUAUGAAAGAAACAUAUUAAAUACCAAUAAAUUUCAAAGAUGAAUAAUACUUACCUGCUGCAUGAAAAGGAUGUUUAAAAGUUCUAUCCCAACGAUAUGCAAUUAUUUCUAACACCCAUUCUUUAGCAUUAAGUCGAAUAAGGUUCUCUUUCAUAACUCGAAUCAAUUCGUACACAAAUGGCAUUGUAGGAACAACUUCUGAAUCGACAAUGCGAAGAACUGUGUAUAGCGCCUCAUAUAUUGACACUAGCUUUCCCACUCUUUCCUAGUAUGCAUGGUCAAACAUAAGUGAUUCAACUUCUUUGCCGAUUAAUGUGCAACUUAAGUUGUGUUGUGCCCAUUCAUCACUGAUAAAUAUUUUCUUCAAGUUUAUUUUCUUUUUCAAAAGACUGUCGAAGGCUAUAUAAUUGGUUGCAAAUCUUGUUGCUCCAGGACGAACUAUGUCUCCACCACACACCUUCCGCAUCUGGGUAAGCAACCAACCAUGGUUAUAAAUGAAGUUGGUUAUCUUUCGAGCCUUUGUAAUCACAUCUGCAACACUCGUCCUUUUACCGAUAUCUUCGAACAUUAAGUCGAUGCAAUGUGCUGCACAUGGAGUCCAAUAAAGAUUGUAUUUCUUCAUUAACAACUUCCCCGCCUUCAUGAAUGCCGACCCAUUAUCUGUAACUAUUUGGACCACAUUUUGUUUGCCAAAUUCCUUGAUCACAUCCUUCAACAAACCAUAUAUGUAUUUGUUGUCCUUUAUAUUAUUUGAUACAUCAACAUAUUUGAGGAAGAUUGUGCUACCUUUUGAAUAUACCAUGAAAUUAAUUAUGCUUAAUUUCGUGGGCCCAGUCCAUCCGUCAGACAUAAUCGUGCAUCCAUAAGUCUUCCACUUUUCUCUUUGAAUAUUGACAUAAGCUUCUAUGUCUUUGUACUCCAUAUCCAAAUACUCGUGUUUGAUUUCAUAAGGAGACGGUGGUUUUAUACCCAUACCUACCAUCCAUAUAUAAUUAAAGCAUAUAAGAACAUUUGUGGCAAUCAUACUAUAUAAAUAGUAAUGAUAUUGUUAAAAUGAAUACAACUUUUAAAAUUAUAGUAAUUACCUGCUUGUUGUGCACCAACAAUCAUGUUCUUGAAGUGGUGAGAGUCUGUUUUACUGGGCGGAACACUCUCAUAUAUGAAGAACUUACUGAUCAAACGUCCCAUGGUUUCCUUGAUGGCACCACCUUUGAAAAUAUUUUUCAUAUUUUUAUGUCUUGCUACUGAAGAUUUGUACAAUGAGGGUGCAUCAGGCAGUGAUGGAUCUAAAUAUCGAACACUUUGCGAUUUUCGCAUUUGCCUUGUUGUUGGAUUGGUUGGAUGUGAAGACUUGCCUAUUAUAAUUAUUAAAAUUAAACAUAUAUGCUAAUUUAAUAUUAUUGAUAAAGUUGAUAAGAAAUAGUAAUAAUUCAAAUUAAUAUUAUACCUGUUUUUAUUUUGUCUUUUAUAAAAUGUUCUUCUUAUUGUCGAUUCCAUUCAGCAGCUUUUGAUGCUCGAACCGCCUCUCUAUAAGCAUGUCGCUCACCAAGGUGCAUGUCAGCCAGAUACAUAUACACAUCAUCAUCUCCAUCAUCAUCAUCACCACCAAGGUUCUCCUCAUCGUCCUCAUCAGUUACAUGCUUAUGUCUUAUUCCCAUUGUGUCUCGCAGUUCAGAUCGAAUCUCUUCUAUAUCUGUAGCUUUCUUCGCUUUUGCCUUAUUUUUUUGCUCUAGAAGUCGUCUUAUUUAUUGUUUCACUUCUGGAGGCAUGUUAGGACACUUUUUUGUAUUUGAAUUAGGGUCUGUAUGUGAUAGGUGAAAUUUAAAACGAGUAAUCCCACCACUCUUUAUUGCCAACCCACAGUAAUUGCAUACUGUUCCAUUUUUGUCCCCUUCCAUAGGUGUACAAUAUUUCCAACAAGGAUCUCGACCCAUGAUACCGCUUUCACUAGCCAUUUUCUAAAAUUGAAUUAUGAAACUAAUAUCAAAUUUAAAAUUAUUAAAGAUAAAACAUGUAAGAAAUUUAAUAUUCAUGAAAUUGAUAAGAACUAAUAAAAAUUGAAAUUAAAAUUAAAUUAUGCAUAUAUGAAAUAGAUAAACAUUACAAUAAAAUUUCAAUAUGAAUUAAAUUUAAAUUAAAUUAAAUUAAAUUUGUAUAUUCAUGAAAUUGAUAAGAAUCAUUACUAAUAAAAAUUAAAAUUAAAAUUGAAUUAUGCAUAUAUGAAAUAGAUAAACAUUACAAUAAAAUUUCAAUAUGAAUUAAAUUAAAUUAAAUUUGCAUAUUCAUGAAAUUGAUAAGAAUCAUUACUAAUAAAAAUUAAAAUUAAAAUUGAAUUAUGCAUAUAUUAAAUAGAUAAACAUUACAAUAAAAUUUCAAUAUGAAUUAAAUUUAAAUUAAAUUAAAUUAAAUUAAAUUUGCAUAUUCAUGAAAUUGAUAAGAAUCAUUACUAAUAAAAAUUAAAAUUAAAAUUGAAUUAUGCAUAUAUGAAAUAGAUAGACAUUACAAUAAAAUUUUGAUAAGAAUUAAAUUAAAUUAAAUUUGCAUAUUCAUGAAAUUGAUAAGAAUCAUUACUAAUAAAAAUUAAAAUUGAAUUAUGCAUAUAUGAAAUAGAUAAACAUUACAAUUACAUUUCCAUAUGAAUUAGAUAAUAUCAAUUAAACUAUUGUAGACCCCCCUCUUUUGGUCUCGUUUCUUUUUUUUUCCUCUACAUAUAUUAUGUUUGUUUUAGCCAUUGCGGAAGCACCUGGAAGAGGUGUUAGUGCCUUGAACAAGUGGGGGGACCUGGCUGUUUGGAGAGAUGAGCUGCGUGGAACACGUGGUGGAGCAGUUGGCCACAGCCAUGGUGGUGGUUGGGGCUCCAGUUUGCUGAGCAGAGGAACAGUAUAGUAGCUGAUGGCUUGCAGGAAAAGCUUUGACGGAGAAGGAGGACAGAGGAUUUUUAAGAGGAUCCUUUUGAGAGUGCUGGCAGGGGGGGAUCUUGGAGGGAAAGGGAAGAGGAGAAGUAAGUUUUGAGGAGAAAGGGGCUUUCAGGUAUGGCCAUUUAUGAUUUUUCCCGAAUAUUCUGAUCUUUCAUAUCUUUCCCAUCUUACUCUCCAUGAUUCCAGUUUUGCUUGAUGAGUUGUUUUGUUUUGAUGAUUGUUGGUUUAACAUUAAAAAAGAUGGCUGUUUUUUUUGUGUUUUACCCGUGCAAACCUCUUCCAACUUAACCCUUUGAUCGUUAAGCUCAUGGAUGAAAGAAUGAAACGAAGUUAGCACAUUCAUCAAAAGGUUCCCUGCUAUGUUUCUCCAUUUGUUCCCUUUGCUUGAGUAUGUGAGUAUUGAUGCUAAUAGUAGCAAGGUCCCAGCCAACUUUGUACAAUAGAGCUCAGAUGUUGCUCUAGGGGUUCAUGAUCAUCCUGUCAAGUGCCUAGGAGCAAAUGAUGCCCUUGAGCUUACGUUUCUAAGUCGUGUUCUCCCUACCAAGCUGGAUACCCUCCUUGCUAAGGACGGGGGGACGAAACCUAUUAACAGCCGAAACCCAAUGAUAAGAUCCAAGUCACUGUCGAGUAUCUCAAUGAGAAGGAUGCCAUGGUUCUUUCUUCGUGUACAUGUUGUUCCCAUCUCCACCCAAGUUGACUAAACUGUCAUCAGUGAUGAGAUUGCUGCCUACACUAAAUAAUACAUCAUCCAGCCGGUUAUUCAUGAGAAACAUUAAGAUGAGAAGUCCACCUUCCAACACCCAUUAAGCCACUCUUCACACCCAUCUUCUCUCAUUAACAUCCUCAUACCCCUCCCACCACUUCGUGAUUCAUAUCCCCAUCAUCCCCAGCCGUCCAUGCUAUCAAUAAUAUCCCCACUUAUCUUCAUACCCAUUUGUUCCACUAUUCGGAAUCCCCAUGCAUGCGAAACUGGACGCGGAAGCCAUGAUAGCAGAGAUUGUGAUGAAGAACGUGGAAUGCGGUACCCUGUUGCAUGAAGUGAGCAUGGUGGAGCGGCGGUUUGAGGAGUCGACGAGGAAGAUAGAGCUGUAGAAGAGCUUGCUGGAGGUGUUGGAGUUGGAGAGGACGAUAUUGCUGAAUGAUAACGUGCGGCUGGGGCGCGAGAUGAGUGCGCUGAUUGAGGAGAACAAGGGGCUGUGGAGGUCCCGGCUCCUGCUCCGACGCUGGAGGCGCUGAGUCCUCCAGCACCGCCGGCCGAAGCUCCUAGGCCACAGCUAGAUGCGAUCCCAUCCAUCUCCAUCUCUGCCAGGUGAGAGUAGGGCAGAGAAGAUCACGUGCGUGAGGUAGAGGGUAGAAAUGGAUAAAGGGCAUAGAAAAUGGGCUACAGCAAUGCAUGGAAUUGUUUGAUAAAAGAAAAGAGAAAUGGGUUUGUUGACACGUGAAAGAACUAUGCACUUUAAAAAAACUCUCCCUGUUUGUUUUACAUAUUCUCAAACAAUGCUUAAAAAUCCCUUAAAAUUUUAAAGUUAAAAAUUUAUUCACUUAUUCAUGUUUUUCUAUUCACUUCAAAUUCUCGAAACUCAAUCCUAAAAUUUAAUUUCUUCAAAGUUCAAUCUCCAAAAUAACUUUUUUUUUAGGUUCUAAUUUUAACUUUAAUUCUCCAAAGAUCCAAAAUUUUAAAUUUAACUUUCCAAAAAUCCCACAAUUCCGAAUUUAAUUUUAGGUCUUGUAAAUUAGUAUUAUUAUCCCAUAUUUAUUUAUUUAAAGUCCAAUCCUUCAAAAAUCUCAUUAUUAUUAUUAUUAUUACUUCAACUUUCGAAAUCAAUUUAUUCUUAUUAUUAUUAUCAUUAAUCCAAACUUUCAAAAUCCUAUUAUUAUUAUUAUUAACCCAACUCUCAAAAUAUUAUUAUUAUUAUUAUUAUUAUUAUCAUUAAUUCAGACUUUCGAAAUCUUAUUAUCAUUAUUAUUAAUUCAACUUGCAAAACCUUAUUAUUAUUAUUAUCAUUUCAAAACCUUAUCAUUAUUAUUAUUAUUAUGAUUAUCAUUAUUAUUAAUUUAACUUUUAAAAUAUUAUUAUUACUGUUUUUAUUAAUUCAACUUUUAAAAUCUUAUUAUUAUUAUUAUUACUAAUUCAAUUUUCAAAAUCUUAUUAUUGUUAUUAUUAUUAUUAUUGUUAAUUCAACUUUCAAAAUCUUAUUAUUAUUAUUAUUAUUAUCAUUAUUAACCUAUUAUCAUUAUUAUUAUUAUUAUUACUAUUACUAUUAUUAUUAUUAUUAUCAUUAUUAUUAAUUCAAUUCCCCAAAUCUUAUUAUUAUUAUUAUUAUUAAUUCAACUGUCAAAAUCUAUAUUCCCGUAGUUUAAUUUCUCAAAGUUCAUUUCUUAUCAUUACUGUUAUUAUUAAUUCAAUUUUCAAAAUCUAUAUUCUCGCAGUUUAAUUUCUCAAAGUUCAUUUCUUAUCAUUACUAUUAUUAUUAAUUCAGCUUUCAAAAUCCAUAUUCUCGCAGAUCAAUUUCCUAAAGUUCAUCUCUCAUUUUCUUUGACGAAUUUCAAUUUAAUUACCGAAGCUCUAAUCUUUCAAAGUUAAUUCCAAAUACUUCAAUUUUCAAAUAAAGUCUAAUAAUCCAGUUUUCACUCGAAUGGUUUUAAUCCCAUUUCAGUCCCUAAAUAAUCUUCUGGUAUUCUUGAUUUUAUAUAAGCAAUAGUGAAUUCUUCAUAAUUCUAAAACACGGAAUUUGUGAGACUGGUUCAUGAAUAAUAAAUUGGGUUUUGGUGGGAGGCACUAUGUUUGAUCCCUAUUGAUUGUCAACUGUUGUGCUUAAUGUAUUUUUGCUUGAUCUUCAUUUUGCACCCUGAUAUGCAUGAGUUAUAAUUUGUAUUCAUUAAUUAUGCACUAAUCCUGUUUCUUGAUAGCAAAUUGCUGUUUGCUACCCAGGUACGCAUUCACUCAUUCUGAUCAUUCACUAUACGUAUUCUGAUUCUCAUAUAUGCAUGAUUAAUGUGAGUAUCCAUUGACUUUCUUAUUCGAUUGCCACGUCAGUUUCACUUUAUUAGUAGAGACCCGACUUUAGGGACUUUGAGGGGUGCUAUGGUCUCUACCGUACCUUCCCGAUAAGUAACCUGACCCUCGAACCCGAUCCGGUUUUUCACAGACCACCUUUUCCAAAACAAGGAGUCGCACUUAGGGUUUUUCUUUCUUAUUUUGUUUACCCUUUAAAAAUAAAACAAAAAUAAGUGGCGACUCCAAGUCAUUUUCAAAUAAUCAAUAAAAAUCAAGUUUUCAAAUAAAAAUCGAGUUCGUCAUCGAGUGGGAAACGCAUUGAGCCGAAAUGCGGGGUCCACAACUAUAUAUAACAAAUAAAAUUGAAUUAUGCAUAAUAAAAUAAAUUUUAUGAAAGGUAAGACAUACCUUAAUUAGCUUUGACUUGGAGUUAAUCCCUUUCACCAACAAAUUUUCAAAAUAAAAAAAUUUUGCUAGAUCAUAUAAGAAUUUUGAUGUAUGAAAUGGAAUGGAAUGUGGGUAUUUAUAGGAAUUUUUUGGUCAAACUACUCGUUGGAUGGUCAAAUAGCCGUUAUAAAUUAAUUUUAACCGUUGGAUCAAAAUUUGGUUCAAAUUUCACCAUUAGAUCUUCAUAUAACCGUUGGAAACACUCCAUAGCCCUUGGAUAAAGUGAAGAUUGAUUUUCCACCAUUGGAUCACAAAUCUGACCAUUGGAGGCCUUUAUAAACACACGGGUGAAAUUUGGGCCAUCAGAUCCUCAAAAAUUCAAAUUUGGCCGUCAGAUCAAAAUCCUUGAAGCUGUAAAAAAAUCACCGAUUAAUCGCGAUUUUCUCGGCAAAAAAUCGUUGAUAUAUCGGUAAAAUAGCUGAUUUUUUGGGCUCCUCCUCCGGCUUCUUCGUGCGUGCCUCUACUCGCGAUUUUUCGUCGAUUUAUCGGUGAAGCACCGAUAUUUGGCCGAUAUAUCGGCGAUUUUGCCGAUUUUUCCGUCGAUUGAUAAUCGGUGACGAUUAUUAUUUCGGUGCCGCCCAAUAUCCGAUAUUUCUCCGAAAUAUCGAUGAUAUAUCCCGAUUUUUCAAUCCCUAGUUAGACCCUUAGAGGGAUUUUAAGUAGAGAGGGCCCGAGCUUGACAUUUCUCCUCCACCUCAUUCAGAUGGUAUUCAUGUUGAGACCACUUUCUUAGAGCCUAUGAUGAUUGAGUCGUCUUACACUACAGGAGCAUCAUCUCAGCCAUCAUUCACCGAGCUUCCUCACACAGAGAUACCAUCUCAGGCACCUCACGCUUCUGAUCAUGCCCCUUGGAUGGAUGUAUCAGCUCAUAUCAGCUUCCUUGGGACUCCUAUGGAGGAGCUUGCUUUAGUCAAUGAUACUCGAUUCUACUCUAUGGAGGAUCACAUAGAUCAGUAUCAGACUGGCUUCACUUCUCGUUUUGAGCACUUCCAGCAGAGAUUUGAGCGUAUAGAGGAGCGUAUGGAUCAACAGCAGGCUACAGUUGAGCAUCUCCAGCAAAGUAUUGAGCGCAUUGAGAGUCGCCAGGCGAGUUAGCAUGAGGAGAUGAUGGCUUACCUCCGCUCCGUGUUUCCAUCUUCACCCCCUCAGCCUUGAGUUUAUCUAGAGUUCCCCCUCAAUUUCUUUUUUAUGUUGCUAAAGGGGGAAAAAUAUCUAGGAUCUAGGAAACCCUCAUGCAUAUCAUUGUCAUAUCUAUCUUGAUUAGCAUAUAUGUUAUGUUUUCGUGUACAUGUGAGGUUACCAUAUAUAUGAUAUGCUAUUUUCAUGAUCCAUUGUUUCCUAUUCAAUUUUUCAUGCUUUACAUUGUUUCCUAUUGAAAAUUGAUUGAUUGAUCCAUGAUUGGUUUGAGGGGGAGAUUUUUUUUCUCUCCUAGAUAACCAAGGUUGGUCAUCAUAAAAAAUGGGGAGAUUGUUAGCCUAAGGGCUCUCCUAAUCGGGUUUUGAUGAUAACAAACCAUGGUUAAAUGACUAAUUGGUUUAAUGGUUAAGAAUCUCAGGCAUAAACUCGAAAAUUCAUCAAAUGACCAAAUGGAUACAAGAUCGAGACAUUUGGAAGACUUGUGAUCAUAGGAAACUAAUGUAAGAUAAAUACAUGAGUGCACUUAGGAUUUUCAUACCGUUUCAUGCAAUUUAGAAAACUCGGUUUAUUUUUUAAAACUUCGAUUUCAUUAAAACCCGAGUUUUAACAAAUGUACCUUAGGCAAAAUGUUUUAAAAUUGGCAUAAUAAUUCACCUAAAAACCUUGCCUAAGUGUUAGAAAAAAAAUGAAUUCAAAAAGAUAGGUUUUUAGGGCCAAAAGGCUCAACCGGUUGGAGAACCAGUCGACCAAUUGCCCUUCUCCGGUCGAGGAAUGCACAAAAUUUUCUCUCUCACAGUAGCCUUCUCUUCCCAGUCGAGGUUAUUCUCUUCCCGAUUGAGAACUGGUCAAGGUCCGGUCGAUGACCGGUCGAGGCAACGGUAUCCUGUCAAGCAUUAAAUGCUCCAACGGCUAGUGAACCGGUUGACCCCUAGUUCGAUCGGUCGAGGUUACCUUUUGCUGUUUUUGGCUCCCGAGCUUAGAAACCUAUAAAUUGAGAGCUCCACUUCAUUUAUUGACGAGAGAACACUUGCAACUAAUUGUCUACCUACCUGUUCUUGAUCAAAAAGCUUUCAUUUCUUUCUUAGUGCAUUAAAUCUUCAAUUGCAUAUCCUUUAGUGCACUCUUGUGUGUCAUCCUAGCUUUGUCUUAUAUUUGAGCUAUCCUUAAGCUAGGUUGAGGGAUUCAUUCUUGUAAAAAUCGAGUGUUAAAGCCUUCAAGAGGUUUAAAUCUUGAAGAGAUUGUGUAAGAGCCCAUUGGAGCCGGAAUCCAAGUGUAAGAAGAUUGGAAGCUUGGUUGAAACUUUAAGUUAGUGGAACCCUCACUCAGUUAGGAGAUUGAGGAGAGUGGACGUAGGCAAGAAAGUGCCGAACCACUAUAAAAUCCGAGUUUGAAUUCUUUAACUCUAUUUCUUUAUUUUGCUUAUAUUUUGCUUGAACUCGUUGUGAUCGAAAAGAAUUUAAAAAAUCCAAUUCACCCCCUUCCCCUCCUUUUGGGUGUUUUUCUUAAUUAAGCAUAGCCUAUAUUUUCUCAUAAAUAAUCUCACAAAAUCCUAGUACAAACUUUAGCCUCAAAUUAUACAAGAUAAACUAGGAUUGAAUGGUGCACUAAUGAUAUGUAAGUUUUAAAACAAUGUGUACUAAAAAACACUCCCCUAAGGCUCAAUUAUAUUCAAGAAAGGUUUAAGAAGGUUAAACUCUUGAAACUAUAAAGAUUGAAGCGUUUUUAUAGAAGAGAAAAGCCAAACUACCUAUUGGGGGUUCGUCUGGUCGAGCUCUGGUUCGACCAGUUCACUAGCCAUUAGCAUUUAAUGUAUGAUAGGUGACCAUUGGGCCUUGACUGGUACUCAAUUGGAUGAAGUUCAACCUUGAUUGAUCGAAUAAGCAUUAUGGAAAAGAGAUAAGGUUUUUGCACCCUUCAACUGAGUAAGUUGAAUAAGUCGACUAAUUCCUCAUUCAAUUCAACCAAUUAAGUCAUUUUUUGCUAAAAAAACCAUCAUUUUCAACUUAAAACCUUUUAAACAAGUUUGGAAAGCAUUUGACAUAAGGUUUUAGUUGAAAACAUGAAAUCAUCCAAUUUUUAAAAGAUUUAAAACAAAAUAACUCUUGAAUGAUUUUAGUGUAUAAGUAAAGAAUGUAAUGCAUGAAAAACCCCAUGCACUAACAACCUUACAAAGAGAUCCUAUGAGGCUUAGGUCUUGAAAAAACACUUAUCUUUAAGGUUUUCUUCUUCUUAUUGAUUUUAUCUUUGUGAUUGCCACUUUGGAAAUCAUCUUGCCUAGUCACACUUAAAAUAUAAUCAUUAGUUCUAAACCUUGUUUUGUUAUCAUCAAAACUAAGAUUAACCAAACCUUGGUUUCACAGUAUGAAUAUUGUAUCUUUAGAUCUAUAGUUAAUAGUGGUUUUUAUAGUCAUAUGUUUCUAUUGUGAUAAAUUUAGAGAUGCCUAGGGAUAGAUGAAUGCACCCUAUGAGAUCUAGUGCAUAUGAAUGGAGUAAUCUGGGGUUCCUAACAUAGUUUAGGCUUGUGCUUCAUAGAGCGAUAACAAUUCUUCAAGCAUAGUUAUGCUUUAGAAAUUUGUUAUUGAUUGGUCCAAUUUUUAGACCAUCUUUAGCAACAAUCUUGUGGGCACCAUUGAUAUAAACUUGUUAUACAAAAUAUGAUCUAUCACAUUUUUGGCAAGAACUUUCCACUAGUUUUGUGCAUGGUAAUGAUCAUGCAUGCAAACUUAACUAAGUUAUACACUAGAUGCCAAACUACUACAAUUCUUAUACACCUUCCCAUUUUGUGCAACCGAACAAUUCAACAUCAUAACACCAAAGUUCUUGCUUAGAUUUCCUACAGUGCUAAAAUUUUGAAAUGAUUAAUUUUUUUAUUUUCCUUUCAAUACCAAGACCCACAUACAUCAUGUCAUGCCCUAAGACCCACUCUAAGGGCAUGACAAUCAUUUCACAUCUCAAGGUAGAAAGCUCAAAGUGUAAAUUGACCUUAACAUUCAUUUUGUAACUGGAAAAUUAUCAAUUACCAAAUUCAUAUUCAAAGUAGUAGAAUAAAAUUCUAUAAGUUUCAAAUCUCAACUUUAAAGCUAACACAUCAACUAAAGUGUUAUUGUCCAAACAACUUCAAACUUAACAAUUCAAGCAAUCAUUAAAUUCUAGCUUUCAAAAAAAUAAAGUUUUAACCAAAAGUCUUAAUAUUGCCAAAAUAUCAUCCUAACGAUCACUCCUAGCCCGAAUUAAGGUGCCUAAAAAAUUGUCAAUGAAAGGAAAUGAGAUCAACGCUCAAUAAGGAAUAUUAACAAAGUUUCAUGGAUCAAACAUUUUUAAUUAUAAUUCCAAAUAGGAGAUAUAAUAUAUAAUCAUUUUCAUAAAAACUUUUGAGUUUAAAUAUAAUAAUACAUUCAAAAAUUUUUAGCUAAACAUUUUCAUAUCUAUGUCAAAACAAUUUCAUAUCAAAUUCAAAUCAAAUAUAUACAAAAUAUUUUUAUUUUGGUUAUCAAAUAUCACAUGGUGUCAAGUUAGGUGGGACUUUACAAAUUGGUGUCUAGCCUCAAAUUUUUUCAUUUCAAGGUGGAUGAAACCAAACACUACUAGUAUUAUUAACAUCUAACCAAAUGCCUAAAGGGUGGAAUCUAAAGCAAUUACAUGCCCCGCCAAGAAAUAUAAGGUCAACAAUUAUAACUAGUUAACUAAGGACAAAAAUAAACUAGAGUCAAACACCUUAUUUCAUUAAUUCAAACUUACAAAACAAAAACAUCAUAUCUCCAUAAUUUUCAUUUUUUAUAAACAAAAGAAAUGUUCUAACAUAUUUUUUUCAUGAAAAAUAUAUAUUUGAUCCAUGCAUAAAAAUAAAAAUAAUUUUUUUUAUUAUUCAAAAUAACAUAUAAAAGUAAAUAUGUUCUUUUGGCCAAAACAUGUAUUAAUUUUUCUUACCUCAAAGAAACACUCAAAGACCUUGAAGCAAUUAAUCCUGAAGAAUUUCACCCCAAAAAACAUAUUUCAUACCUUACAAAAAAAAAACAAAAAAACAAAAUUACUAUUGAUUAUUUAUCUAAUAAUAGUUUCGUAUCUCAUAUCACCUAUAUUAUUUUUAACUUCCUAAUAAAUAACAAUUUAAUAAGUGAUUUUCCAAAUUUUAAAAAGUUAUGUUCUUUCCAAAAUUUAUUCAUAAUAUUCUAUUAUUAUUAAUUAAAUCUCUCAAAAAUAUGUUUUUUCUAUUUAUUGCAUUAAACUAUUAUUAUUAUUAUUCAAUUUCAAUUUGAUUAAUUGGUUUUUUCUUUUAAAUUUUUAAUUUAUAUAAGAUUCUUGUUUUGAAAAUCUUCCAUAUUUACUUAUUUGUUUAAAGUAAAUUUCUCCAAAACUUGUUCCUUUUUGUUAAACAAAUAUCUUUUCCUAUUAUUAUUAUUAUUAUUAUCCCUAAUAUUAUAUUCAAAUAACUAAACAAUAAUAAUUUAAAUUAGUGAGUUUCCAAAUUUUUAUAAAACUCAUAUUCAUUCUAAAUCUUAUCAUAUAUAUCUAUUUCUUUUAUAUAAUUAAAUUAAAUUAAAAAUUUUACUUAAAUAUAUAUAUAUAUAUAUAUAUAUAUAUAUAUAUAUAUAUAUAUUAUAUUAUAUUAUUACUUUCAACAUCCUUCUACCACCGAAACAAUUACCUCAAGUAAAAGUCAUCUAUCCUUAUUCUACUAACUACCCUCUCUCUUGCAAUAGCACACUUAGGGAUGGCAAUGGGGCGGGUUCAGGAUAGGUCACCCCCAUCCCAACUCCACCUUGUUUAUUCAAAAUAAUUAUCAUCCUCGUCCCAUUUAAAAAAUUAAAUGAGACGGGGCGAGUAUGAUAAAUUCUCAUACUCGCCUCGUCCUGCCCCGUUUAACUUUUUUUUGAAUUUAUUUAUUUAUUUAUUUUUAAAAUUACUUUUAAAAUUUUUAAUUACAUUAAAAUAAAUAUAUUUUAUAAAUAAUUAAAUAAUUAUAUUUUUUAUUACUUAUUUUAUUAAAAAUAUUUUAUUAUUAUCUAUAUAUUAAAAAUAGUAAAAUAAAAAUUAAAUUAAAUUAAUUUUAAAAAUUAAUUUUAUAUAUAAUUGGGGCGGGGUGGGACGGGGCAAUACCCAAACCUGCUUCGGGUUUUAAAAAAAAUUCUCAAACUUGUCCCAAACCCGUUUAUUAAAAUUGAACUCCGUCCCAUUAGGGACGAGGCGAGUACCUCGAAAAAACCUGCCUUAUUGUCAUUCCUAAGCACACUUUCAUUUUUUUUUUUUCAUUUUUAUUGCUUUUAUCUUUUUCCUCCCUAAGAUCAAUCAUAUUGUAAGCACCCCUUUUUUUUUUCUACCACAUCUUGUUGCAAUCAACCUUGUAAGUUUUUUUAAUUUAAAUUUUUUUUCCACUAUGGAGGCACGUACAACCAUAAAACCCCAUCUUUUUUUAUUUUAUUUUUACAACUCUCAAAUCUCUCAACCUCCAUACUAUUAGGUUUUAUUCAUUCAUUUAUUUAUUUAUUAUUCCAUAUCCAAAACUAUAAUUAAUUUUCUUUUAUAUUUUUUUAUUUUAGAUCUAUUAAUUUGAAUAUUCAAAAUUUCUAAUCUUUACUAAUAACUCUAAAGCAUUCAAAACUAAUUAAUAAAUAUAAAAUAUUAAUCUAAGGAUUAAAAUCUUAUAUAGAAAAUUGAUCUUCAAAUCUUAAACCCCCAAAUUUUCAACCUUACAUUGCGUUGUCUAAUAUCUCAAAUCUCCAUGUAAAAGGGCUUUUGAAUAGAGUAAAUAAGAAAAAUUUAAUUUAUACCUAAAAUUUUUAAAAUAGAGAAAAAUCUUUCUACCCUUAUUAAUUUAAUUUAAUUAAUUUUUUAAAAUUAUGUUUUUACCCUUUAAUUGGGUUUGGGCAUCACACAUCAUACUAAAAAGUUAUCAAUAACCGUCCUUUGAGGCAUAUUAGCAUAAAUUUGCAACUUUAGUUGUGUUCUAGGUGCAAUUCUAUUAUGUUUAAUUGAAAAAUAACACACAUAGCACAACCAAGCCUAAUUGAAAGCAUUUGGGCAAAUAAAUGGUAAAUUUCUAAAAGUUCACCAAAACAAAAAAAAAGAUCAUAGAGGGCAUAUUUUUCAAGUCAACCUAGUUUUGGGAUAGCCACUUUCAAGCCUAAUGAUGUUAAGAUGUCUUAUUGCAAUCCAAUCUAAGAAUGCAAUAAUAGCUCUUUAAUUCAUAAUUUUAAAUUCACAAAAGAUAUCACCAAAAAUUACCAUAGGUUACCAAAGCAUCAACAACAUACAGAAAGCUUAGAAAUGCUUGGAACCUAUCGGAUUUUCACUUUUUAGGAAUAAAAAAAAAAAUCAACUUUAAGGAUUUUAGGGUAAUACUUGCUUGAACCAUCUUUCAAUCCUUUUGUUGGUGGUGGGCCUUUUACCUAUAGGAACAGGAAUAAGAGGUGAAAAUGAGGGAGCCUUAUGAAAACAGAUCCCUAGGGCUUAAGAAGGGGUUUUCAAUUUUAGGGUUUGCCUUUUCACCAAGGAUGUGAAUGGGAAGAUCAAGUGAAGUUAAGAGAUUGGUGAAGCAAAGUGAGGGCAUGGUAGGGUUUGAAUAAGGGAAAUUCUACACUAUUAAUGAAGAUGAUAAUCUCGAGAAAGCAAAGCUAAGGUAAACUAGGGUUUUAAUAACAUUUUUCAAUCUACACUAGUGAAGACGAUAUCUUCGAAAACCAAAGCUAGGGUAAGCUAGGGCUUUAAUAAUGAAUUUCAAUCUACAAUGGUGAAGAUGAGAAUCUUCGAAAACCAAAUCUAUAAUGGUGAAGAUGAUUGAAAACUAAAUCUAUACUGGUGAAGACGAUUGUAAAGCAAAUCUACACUAGUGAAGAUGAUAAUCUUCGAAAACCAAAUCUAUAAUGGUGAAGAUGAUUGAAAACUAAAUCUAUACUGAUGAAGAUGAUUAGAAAGCAAAUAUUCACUGGUGAAGACAACGAAACCAAAGGUAGGUCUUCUAAACUAAACCCUUUUAGGGAUUUUCCAUUUUUUUUCCUUUGUUUUCAAGAAAGGUAAACUCUCUUGAAAACCAAAAAACUAAUGCAUUCUUAAAUCCAGAUCACCAUUUUCAACAUAGUAUUUGGAUUUCCACCUUGCAUUUUUUAUUUUUUAUUUUUUUUAAUAGUCAAGGGCAUUUUAGGGAUUAUUGAAGGAUAAUAUCAAUAAGCUCAAUUUCCUACAUUAGUUAGGUCUUAGGCUCAAAUGUGAAACUUAUAGGGAUGUUAGGCCAAUUAUCAAACUUACUUGCCUAAAGCAUAAUUUCCCCUUUUCAAAAUAGUUGUUAAACAUCAAUCCCAAACAUGUGUAACCCUUUGAAGUACUUGUAUGUCAACCUUGUUUCCUUUCCCUCAUGCAACAUGACUUAUUGAUGGUUGCAUUGAAUCAUUAUCAUUCACCAAAUCCAUGCAACUAUGGACUACCUUUCAAAUCCCUUGAACAUAAAUGGUAAUUCCAAAACAACUCAAGUAUAAUCUUUCCGGCCUUUCAAAUGAUUUAAUUAAUUGAUGUUUGAAUAUACUUCAUAUAUUUUUUUAGAGCAAUUUUUAGGCAUAUGACAUAAAUCUCUAAUUUUUUUUAUUUUUAUAAAAGGUUUUAUAUUUUAUAUUACAAUUUCCUCUCUUUUUUUUCAUCUAAAAAACAAAAUAUAAAACCUUAAUAAACGAGUUUUGUCACAAUCCCUUAAAAGGUAAUCUAUUUUUAAAAAUUACUUUAACCAUUUUAGAUAUAUUGAUUCAGUCUAAUUUAAUUUUAAUAUUUUUUAUAAAAUAUUUUUAUUUUAUAUGAUUAUAAAUUAAUUACCAUUGAUUGCAUAUUAUAGAAUAUAUAUUCUAAAAUAUAUCCUAUUGACAAUAAUAUCAUAAGAUAUUAUAUCCAUAUCCUAAUAUAUUAUAUACUUUUAUUUUGUGCAAUUAGCAACAGGGUGGAAGACGGCUUAGGCGGGAGACGGCUUAACGGAAAUGUCGUCUGCCAUGCGUGUCCCUUCCCUUAGUGAGUCUGAACAGCUCCAACAUUUCUGACACGCCCUUCUUCGGUUAGCUCUUAAGUAUUUUCGUUAACCCCAUCACAUUUCGCCAUGUGGAUCUAAGCCUCAUGGUCCUUUCGUUCGUACUAUGAAUAUAUUCCUUAUCUAGAGUCUGGAUCCUUUAUCUCUGCACGUGUCUAUGGCUCUUCACCCCAGCAAGUAUGGCAUUACAAGGGCAAUAUCGUCAUUAAAGACCCAAAAGGCAAACGAAUGGCAUUAUCUUCCUUUUGGGUCUAUUCUAUUUAUAUUUAUAUUGCAAGUUAUUCGUGAUGACUUCUCUCAUAACAGCUAAAAACCACUCCAACAGAGCACACUUCACUUCUUCGUUUUUGUCUUUCCUCUUUUUUUUCCAGAGAAGCUGAGAAAGCCCAGCUUGCCCUCAACUCCCCGAUGGGUUUGAUGAAUGUUCUCAAAUUCUCAGCUGCAUGCUUUGAUCUUCUUGGCUGGUAUGUUGUCCACGGAUUUUCUCGUCAUUGGAAAAUGAAGUGGAAUUCUAUGUUUGAGGACAAAACUGGGAUUUGCUUUGAUUUCUCCAUGUUGGUUUUAUCCCUUUCCUUUGAAUUGUCCACAUUCUUGUCAUUGGUUGUUAGUUAUUUGUUUGGAUUUCUACUUGCAGGCCUCUGUUUGCACUGGGUUAUCCUCUGUAAGUCUUGGUCUUACACCCCAAGAUAUGAUCAUUCAUUUACUCUUUUCUUGUUCUAUGAAUUCUUAGUUCUGUUACAUUUAUUGGGUUGGAUUAUUAGUUAUUAUAUUAAUAAUCAUCAACGUCAUCUCGGUUCUUCACAGAUGUGCUUCAAUUCGGGUAAUUGAGACUAACUCAAUCUCAGACGUUCGGAAGUUGGUGGCGUAUUGGGUUCUAUUUUCCUUGGUUUCACUCUUUGAUCAUACUUUUGCCAAGCUCCUUGAAUGGUAAUUUUGCUCAACUGCAUUCCACUAUAUGUGGCUCUAUUUCUUUCAUUUCUCUGCCCUUAAGGAAUUUGGAGUUGCUUUUUUCAGUUUUCUUCCCUGUGAAAAUAAUCGAGAUGUUUAAUGUUCCAGGCCUGCAUGCUCAAGGAAGUGGUGUCAGCUUUGGAAAUAAGAUGGAUCUACUAGUUUUUAUUUCUCAUCUUUAUAGGGAACUUUCCAUAAUCACAGUGAUGAAUAAUUGUCUUGUUUGAAAGCAUGGUUGCACUUAUUUCCAUGGAAUUUGUCUGCUGAGAAACAAAUGGAAAUAGAAAAUUCAGAAUCUGACAAGUUUGUGUAGGGCAACUGGAUCUAAUCUCUUAGUCGAAGCUUAAUUGGGGCAAAUGCUGAUCAUCUUUGGACCAUUGAAGGCUCUAAUCUGUGCACAAUUCUAAUGUUUUUGUUUUCUUCAUUUCUUUUUCAACUGUUCAUAAUAGAUGUCAAAAGAUAAAACCGAACUUAUGUAGUCCAUCCAAGUGGAUGCAUAUAAAUUUAACAGAAACUGAAAUUCGAAGAAAUUUAUUUAUUUUUUUAAAUAUUUUAUUUUCUUAUAUAAUGCAUGUCAGGAUACCAUUCUGGCCUUACAUAAAGCUGAUGGUCAUCUGCUGGAUGGUGAUACCGCAUUUUGAUGGUUCAUAUUAUGUCUAUCAACACCUAGUUCAUCCAUGCUUGUCCAUUGAUCCACAAGUUGUCAUGAAUUGGCUUUUCAAUGAAUCAAAAAAGAAGUUUCAUAGCAGAGAAAACUUUCUUGUUUCAGCAGACCAAUAUAUUAAGGAGAAUGGACCUGAAGCUUUGAAGAAACUACUUGCUAGGAAGGUAUGCCAUUAUAAGUAGGAUUAUCAACAAGUCAAACAGAGUUUUAUUUGAGAUGUUCAAGUAAAAAAUGACUAUAGCAGGUCAUCUAGAAUUAUGUGGUCUAAAUUCAUGUAUAUAUCUAUAUAUAAUUGUGUUCUCUUUUUUUCACAUAUGCAUGUGCAUUUAGAUUUACAUAAUUAUAUAUGCAUAAUCAGAUUCAACUGUGAUAGCCCGGGAUUUAAUUCAGUAAUCAACUCUUCUGGGAACAUGUUGGUUAUGGUUUCUCUCUCACUGUCCUCUUAUUUAUACAUGACUUUGGCUUCAGUUGAGGAGCACAAAGCCUAAUGUUGAAGUGAAAGAGAUCAAAGCACCUGCAGCACCGGAGAAAAAAGGGGAAGCGGUAUGCACUCUAAUGUGGCUAUUUUAUUUCUAUGGAGGCAGAUCCCCAGAAAAAUGUUGCUCAUGUAAAUUAGUGAUGCAUUUAAAAGAAAAACCACUUUAUGUAUGUUUCUGUGAAAAAGAGAACAAGUUUAUGGAUUAAGUGAUAUUUUUUAUGGUGAAAUAAUCAAUAAUUUUCAAAAUAAUAAUAUAUUCGUGCAUGUUUUUGCAAUUCAUGAAUUCCUUUUACGAUUGAUUCUUCUCACCUCAGUGGAAGUGUGAAGAGCCUAAUGUUGCAGAAAAGGAGAUCCAAGUAGUCAAAGUAACAGACAUAAAAAAUGGGGGGAUGGAGCAAAGAGGGUAAGUUUUCCUUUUUAUUUAUAAGGAAGGCUGUCUUCACACAAGGAUUAUUGUUAUUAUUUUUAAGACAUGAAUGUUGAAUGCAUUUGGAAUUGUCGUUGAAUCAUGUGAAGUGUGAAGGUGCAAAUGGUGCUAAGAAGGAGAUCAAAGUGAUGGAAGUAACACAGAUAACAUUUGGUGAUACAGAACAGUGGGUAAGGUUUCUUGUCAUACUUAAACGGCACCUCAUAUUUCACUAGGAUUAAUUUUGGCCUACAAACAUAUUUGGCUACAAGUUGAAGACAGAUUUCCAGAUACUGGUAGAAGUUGAGACAUAAGUAAUGAAUGAGUUUAGAAACAUGCACAACUCUUGUGUGAAACACAAUGAGAGUGGAAAAUAGCUAAGUUGAAAAAUGGCCAAAUACUAUUUUGUAGUUCCCCCCACCACUUAAGUAAUUUUUGUCAUCCUUUGUGAAUGGACAAUGCAGUCCCUUCAGUAAUUCCGCUAUAUUCAUGACUUGGUGAAGCAUAUAACCAUUAGUGUCUUGUCCUAAGUUGACCUUUAAUGAUGAUCCAUUGAGAGGGAUCUGACUUUUGUCAACCCUCUUAGAGGUUAAACAUACGGGGCUUAACCCACUUUUCAAUCUCAUUGGAUAUAUGGCACGUGGUAUCCUCUUCAUCUUGAAAGAGUGAAGUGGUCAUACUCUUUCCUCCGAGUCCAUCGUGGCCAUGCACUUCUGGCUCAUUGGGCUGAGUGAAAGGAUUCCCUUCUGCUUCAAAUCAUAGAGAGAUAUGCCAUGGUCAGCCUCUUUAAUUUGAAGGAUUGAAGUACUCAAAUCCAUUUCUUUGCAUCCAUCUUAGUCCUGCUUCCAUGUCUCAUGGUUAACCAGGAAGAUCAAGCUUCCAUCCAUGAGAUCAGCAUCUGCAGGGUUAUGACUCCACCCUUCCUUGGCAUAGGAAAGCGAUCAUUAAGCCACAUGUCGGAUGACAGAAGUCGUCAUUCAGGUUAUCUUGAGAACUAGGGAAGUUGGAAUUCUAAUUAUUGCAUAUGGUUCUUGAUGUUUAGCCAAUAUACUAUAGGAUUUUAAGCAUCAUGCCCAUGUGCAUUGUGGUUUUUUAUCAGCUAUAUGGUUUACCAAACUGAGGGAUUGAUUAUAGUCAUAAGUACCCUUUUCCCAUUAAUUUCUUGCAUGUGCUUUGCUGAGAUUAUGUUUUUGACAGUGCUAAUCAGGGCAAACCAACAAACAGCUUUAUGUUAACUUUUACAAACUGCCACAUUUUCAGGUUGAACGAUCAGACAUAAAUCUUGGUGAAACUAGAAGUAAUACAACCUGUGCUGUGGAGAUAAAAGAAAGGGCAGCAGCACUGGUGGCUGCAGAAAUUGAGGCAUGUAGAGACAAUAGAACCCCCGAGAUACCUCUGCAUAAGAAAGUCCAGAAAGAGUGGGCUUGUGCUGUAUGCCAGUUCACAACCCAAAGUGAAGUGACCUUCAAUUCCCACCUUCAAGGGAAGAGACAUCAGGCCACUUCUGAGCAGUUGAGAGCCAAAAACCAGGCAACCAAAACCAAUUGUUCCCCAUCUGCUUCAAAGGCCAAGAAAUCUGAUCAGUCCACCAAAGAGGAGCAACCAAAGUGUCCUUCCAACAAUCUGAAUUCCAAAAACAAUGGAAUCUCAGCUGCUUCAACAGUGAAGAAACCUGACGAGACCAAAGAUGAUGAGCAACAAAAGUGUGCAUCCAGCAAUGGACCAAACCAGAAGAAUAACAAAAAGCAAGAGGAGAAGGUGCUAGUUCUUGAGACCAAUGAGCAAGGCCAUCAGAAUAAUUUUGAUCCACGAUCCCACAUUUAUUUUGGGUCUCACAAGUUUCAAAUUUGCAGAAAAAUGAAAGAUGUUUGAGAGAAAAUUAAAUCAUAUUGCACUACUGUUAGGAAAAAUAUGGCUGAAUCCAAUUGCUUUUCUUCUCCAAGUCUAUUAAAAAUAUAAUUUUUUCUCCAUUCCUGACAAAAUUUAAAUUUUUUCCUUAAAAAAAAAAAAAUUAAGUUUGAUCACCUAACACAUCUUUCUAAACUCAAUCUCAACUUGAAAAAUCAAACCUUAAUGGAUGGACUAUAGAAAUAGUGAGAAAACACUUCUGGGGUUUUUUUUUUCUUCCAACAUCAAAUUUUUCUAUAUAUGGGAUUUCACAUGCAAAAGCAGGAGUAGAUUUGCUUGUGUUUGAUGUAUGUAUUAGAAAAAUUUGUCCCUUCUGGGAUGUUUAAUACUUUUCUAUUCUUUUAUAUGCAUGUUUAGCUAGAAGAUAUAGAAUCGAUACCAUUCCUUAAAAGUGAUAGCCACAACUGUGAUAAUUAAACACCAAAGAAUGUGAAGAUCUAUAUAUUCUUUUUUUUUUCCUCUCUCUUUCAAUAAUGAAGCUAAGAUGUGUUGUAAGCAUCAAAUGCAUUGUCUCUGCUUGAAUAUAUACAAAGCCAAGGACCACAAGAUGGAUAGAUAUGGGGACGCACAAAACUUCUCAAACAUGAUUAUAUUAAUCAAGAAUUCAACUAAGCUUAAAUUCAAGAUGUUGAUUUCUAGCAUCUCUGGUGCUAUAGGAUGACUAUUGAUCCUGUACUGUUAUGUGCCCUACUGAUAUAUUCUUCGGGUUGUUAUGUAUAAAUAAAAUUUUUGGGAAAGUUUGCUUGGUGGUUACACUAUCACUAUUUAGGCCAGUAAAAAUUGGAAGCCUUUGUAAAAAACUGAUGGUCCAAGAGCUAUUCUACUUCAUCAUCCAUGUAAUAUGACGAUACAAAUUUGACUAAAUGCAGCUAUAGAAGGCUUAGGACCAUAAACCAAGCCUAGUCGAUGUCACUCACCUAAAUUUAUGCAUAAAGCUUUUGGAUGGCUCAGAGUUAUAUUUAAUUACUGUUAUGUUCGCAACUAUAUUUUCAUUGGAUUUAUAGUCCAGCUUGAGAACUAGUCCUCCAUUGCACAUAAUGUCCACACAAGGCCACAGUGCCCGCUCAAAGGCCAUAGCGCUACUCAAGGAUAUAGUGCUUACUCAAGGCCAUAGAGCCCACCUAAGGCUAACGACCCAAAAGGAGAAAAAGGUUGGUUCCACGUACUCUAAUAUUUACUAGAAAAGGUUCUUCCUAUUAAAGAACAAAAAAUUGCAUUCCCUUGUGACCAAUCCAAACAGUAGACCACUGACUUGUAUAAGGCAUUAUUCACCAUGCAAGCACUUUUUCAGCAACCUACCAUCUGGCAUGAACCAUUUUGGAUUGAUUCACAAAGCAAUGGUGUUAUAUUAAGCAUAUUCAAUAUAGAACCAAAUUGUGCCUCCUUAGAUUAACUAAAAUAUUUCCAUUGCAAGAUGUGCAGAUAGGCAUAUGAUCAUGAAGUAAUUUCCUGAUGAUAAUACCCCACAAAAUAUUUCUUUUUCUCACUGAUCUCUCCUAGAUUUUCAGUUCACCCAUCCAUGGCGCCUGACUAAAAAUGGGGGCAUUUUGGAUACCCCGAGCAGUAAGUUAGCCUGGUAGGCAUCCCGUUGCAAGCAAAGUCAACCCGAGCGGUCCAUUUGACCAAAGCUUAUCCAGGCAGUAAGCGUCCAUAUACAGCUAACUGUUAUGCACCAUCAACAGGUUGAGGUUACAAGAUUAAAGAGUCAUAAUGGCCAAAUGGAAGUUACACGACUCGGCCUAUAUAAUAACAGUAUGACAAAAAAUGCAGGUAUGAAGAACUAUCACUGAAAAAAUUUAUUCCUAAAAAUCCUUUAAGCUCCUUUAAGCUAACUUGGGCAUUGGAGAGGUCUCUCCGAAGCACACUCGAGCUUACCUUUUUGUAAGACAUCGAGAACAAGAGGCAUUGAAGUGAUUGUCCGGAGGGUUGAACUUGGUCGGGAACCAACAAUACACACUAUUCAAAAAUAGGGAUCAUAUUAAAUUAUUAAUGCAACCAUAGGAAGCAAUUGAGGACAAGGGUGUUAUUUGAUUAAAAGGGUAAUUGAAAACCUAAAUUUUGAAAUUUAACCCUCCAUUCUAUUUGGCCUUAUGUGAACAAAAAUGCCUUCAUUAUUUUCUUGUAAAAAUAACUCACCCAUUUAAACCUUACAUGAAAAUACUUAAAAUGGUAAAUGAUAUGUUAAAAAUUGAUUAUUUUUCAAAUAAAACAUAAGAAGGGUCAAAUUCAUGAAAGGAUUAUUUCAUCCCUUUUAAUCAAUUAAUUCGAUUUAUUUCUUUUUAUUUUUUUUCUCUCCAUGUUAAUUUUCACAUCACCCAACAACACCACUCUUAAUUCACACAAGUUUGAAGUUUUUGAAUGAGAUAUAUUCGUAAUUAUAUUGUAAUUGUGUUAUAAUAACCAUUUCGUACUUGGAUUUGUUCUUUCAGUCCAUUUAACCUUUUUGUUUAUUCAUGUCAAAACAAUGUACUUAUAAUCGAAUCCAUUUAUGACAUGUUGAUCUUAUAUAAAUUUAUUAAUUUUAUAUAUUUAAAAAUUAUAAAAAUUAAAUAUACUUUUUCAAUUAUGAAUAUCAUAUUACUAAAAUAUUAAAUAACAAAUUAACUUGAAAUGCUAUAUAUUUCAUUAAUUAUUUUAUAAUUAAAACAUUAAAUGAAAUAAUAAACAAGUAUAAAAUAGAAAAUUCUAUCUUAGUUAGAAAUUAUAAACUGUUAUUGAGACAUAUAAGUAUUAAAAUUCUACCCAUUUCACUACCAAACAACUUAUGUUUUUAGUCAUAAUUUAACCUUAUGAUGAACACUUAAAUAAAAUUUGUCAUCUUUUUCUAUUGAUUUAUAUUUAUUUAUUUAAAAAUUUUGUCUGGCAUAAACUAUCAUCUCACAAAAUCAUCAUUGAUGAGUAGGCUAUGCCCCAGUGUAAGCAUCUCCAAAUCAAACAUCAAUGAGAGGAGUACAACCAAUCAUACAUCAUCUUAUCAAAAUGAAUCUCCGCUUUUCAAAGUCAUCGUGGUAACGUGAAGAGAGUAUUUGACCUCCUCUAAAGAAAAAACAUGUCUUGAUGUGAAAAAGAUCAAGCAAAGUGGUAUGCCUCAACAAAAAUGUGCUCAAACAUGAUCAUGCCCCGAUGUAAGUUAGUAUCUCUAAGAUCAAUCGCCAAUGAAAAGGUUAUUCCCCAGUAUAGGGCAAACUCUGAAAUGACUAAACUCCGUUGCAAGCUCUCAUAAGUGUCUGUGUCAUGAUCCAAUCAUCGCAAAAAUUUGUCAACAAUGAUGAGAAGGCUAUGCUCCUAUAAUCACAUCAAAGAAAUCACUCGGUCAUAUUACUCCAAUGUGAAAGAAAUCUAAUCACCUCCAAGGAACAGCUAUGCCUCAAAACCAUCAUCGACUGAGAGGGGGAUGCCCCUGAUCCAAUCACCACCCUAACUAACGUACCCAUCAUGAGGAACACUUGUUUGAGCUCCAUAAUGGGGAUCAACCAUUAGAUGAACAAGAUUCGAAUAUUACUUGCUCCCCAUUUCAACCAAUGAAUGAUGUACCUGGAAACCUUGUAGACAACCAUAGUUUUCAGCCUUCUUCCUCGCGAUCAUCUAGAACAGAGUCGGUAAGCUUCACUCAUUUCUUAUAAUGGACCUUGACCCACAACGUCGAACUACCUGUAUGCAAAAUUAUCCGUCCAGAAAACCCAUCCAUACAAUUCAGGUUCAAAACCCACAAGAACCACCCUAUGAAUAAACUAAUUAUAGCUGGCUUCGUUGCAAUAGGCAUUAACUUUCUUAUGCUGACAGUCCUAGCAUCAUUUACCAAAGGAUCAACAACUUUUCCAUGUCAGAGAACAUUAUCAAUCACAAUGACACCCCUGGUCCUCACUAGUUGCGAUAGCAAUUUAAAGUAUUCUUGAUUCAAAGGGUAAACAAAACAAAAAAGAAAACCCUAAGUGUGACUCCUUAUUUGAAAAAUGUGGUUUAUGAAAAACCGGAUCGAGCUUAGGGGUCAGGUUACUUAUCGGGAAGGUACAAAAAAAACCGUAGCACCCCUCUAAGUCCCUAAAAUGGGUCUCUAUUGAUAAAAUGAAGCAAUCAUGGCAAUUGGUAAGGAAAUCAUUGAGUAUCAACAUGAUCACACAUUGAGAGUUAAAGCAUGCAUGAGGAAUGGUCAAAGUGAGAAAGGAUGCGUACCUUAGCAACGAGUCCCAAUGCGCUAUCAAGAAAUUGGGUUAGUGCACAAUCAAUAAAUAUAAAAUAUAACACACAUGCAUCACUAAAUAGGGUAAUAAAUCCCCGAUGACAAACCUUGCACUUCACUCAGGUUUAUUUCUACUUCUCUGAUGUUGGGCCCCACCAAAGCUCAUUUUAUUUUGCAUGAAUCAACUCCAAUAACUCCAUUAUUCGGAAUUACGAAAUUUAAUUCUUGCUUAUUUUAAAGCAUUUUAAAAAUAGAGGAGAUAUGAGAAUUGCUCGCCAGAAAAGAAGAUGGCGGCAAAAUUUUAAUGAAAAACGAGUUUUUGGAACCUAAGAAAAAUGUUAAGGAUGGAAAAUUUUGGAGGUUUGAAAUUAAUUAAAAAUUAGAAUUGAGGAAUUUAUUUACAAAAUGGGGUUUAGGAAAAUUAUUUUCAAAAAAAAAAAAUGAUGAAAUGAGAGAUGGCACGUGACACAAGGGUGGCCAUGCUGAAGGCGUUCUCUUCUGGCCCAAGCUGGAAAUGCACUCCAAUUAUCCUUCUUUUCUGGUAUAACACCUUCAUCAAAAUAAAUAGCUUUUGCACCAUACUCUGAUAGACAAGGACCAAUAACAAUGCCUAUAUUUGCCUUAAGUAGACAAAGUAAGUCACCCAUUGAACCUCCAAUAUAAAUUGUCAAGUGCUCUGUGUCAUUACUGCAUCCCUCCUUCAAGAUGUCCUUAGAAACCUAAAGCUUUUCCACGACAUACUCCAUCUUCUUAAUGAUUUCACCCGUGGAAAUGGAUUCUUCACAAGCCAACUCAUUUGAAUAUACUCUCAAAACACCCAUAUCACCUGAUGAAAAUGCUGAUCUAACGAAAUCGCCACACCAACAGUAUGAAAGUCCAUGAACAUCUGCUUUCAGAUUAUUAUUUUUAAGAAUCUUUUGGAAGAAACCUGUGCAACCAUCUUGAAGAAUUAGACCUUGACCAACCUGUUUUAUAUCAUCUGAAUUUAAACCCUUCAAUACUCCAGACUGAGUCACUCUUGAAUCUGCCUUUUCCUCAAAAUCAGAAAGUUGCUCAAGUGCUUUACAUAAGCCUUCAUAAUUGAAUUUUUCCACUGUUUCACUGGGGACGAUGCUUCCCAUGCAUUUUUCAAGCUCUUCAGUAUGCUGGGUAGAUAGAACACCCCAUGUGUGUGUCCAGAUCACCAUGAGUGACCAUUUGAACCUUGACGAAUGAGAGAGUACAUAACAUUUAAGCACACAGGACAUAUAUUAACAUUCUCCAUUAGCUUCUCUUUGCCUUUGUCCACCUCUUGACCUCCCAUGCAGCCAACUGUGAAGACCACGUCCAGGUGCAGUCACGUGGUGACACAUCUCAUGGUCUUCCUCAUCCAAUAAAUCACAUGCUCUGUUAAAUCUGCUACCCGAAUGGAUACCUCCUAUCCAUCAACCUGAAUAUACUCCGAGCUUUCUUCAUAAAACCCAAGAAACUCCAGAAGGCAUCAUGGUUCUCCUCCAUCAUUGAAAUGAUUAGGGAUAGUAAAUCACUCAUCCCUUAGCAAUAUCCCAUUUUUAAACCAUAGGGUGCGUAGGCUUCUAGAAUAGUAGCAAAGUGAGCAACACGGAAAAUCUUGCGUGGAUCCAAGUUCCAUGAUGGUGAUCGUAGCCUCACCUUUGAAAUCACAAGACCCAGAACCCAUUCGUUCUUCCUGGUAAUAACUAUCAGAUGCAUAGGAGGCAGGGUUCUUCAGAUUGUUGAUUUGGUAAAAGCCUCUUCUGGUUGAACCCCUGAAUGAUUCACUUUUCUCAGUCCGCAAACCUAGUUCAGAACAGCCCGCAAGAUCAGAACCUUAACCUAGGCGUGGAGAUCCAGUGUUGUAUAACGCCUCAAUUGUCGGAAGCAGCCAUGGCCCAAACAAUGAUAUAAUGGUCAGCAAGUUGUCCCCAAGGACCAUGACAGUGAUGAGCAUUUCCGGGCAGCGCGUCACCACGUUCCACGUCGCGACGGUAAUGGCUAUGGACUGAGUGUCAUGGUCAGGGAGCUUGAUGAAGCAGGUGAAAAUCUGGUGUUUUAGAUUCUGAGGCAAUGACUGCUUGAUCGGUCGGAUUCUAGUACCGGCGUUACAUUGGGGAGGCAAUCUUAAAGUUCCAACGGAGGUAGUAGUGGACUAAUAUUCCUCAAUAACCAAACUUGAGUUUCUCACUUUCCGCUUCUCAAGGCAUUCACCUGAAACGCUUCAGGCGCCCAAACCCUUUCUGCUCAUCAGUAUAAUCACGCGCAUGAAAGUCUUAACUGCCUUCUAAACUUCACAACUUCAUCUUGCAUCUGGGUCAUCGUCGGCACGAACUUAUCACCUGAUUCAGUUAAUAUCCCCAUAUAACAAGUUCCAAUGAAGUCGCAACUUUGCAUCUUCUUUUCUGCGAUUACUUUGAUUCUCAAAGCCGAUUACUUGUUGCAGUCCAUAGGAGAUUCAAUAAUCAAACAUCAUGCACAAGCAAAAAGGCAACAAAAUACAUCGGCAUGUGGCCCAUACACCCUCCAAAAUCUUCACUCAUUUAGUAAGUUUUAGAUUCAAAAGAGUUAGCCUUCUGGUGAGCAACCCGAUACCCAUAACGAAUGAUGUAUCUGAAACACCUUUCCCACGUGGCCCUUGAAGGAUUCACUAGAAGGUGACCAUGCAUAGUAGGUCUUCACUCGCAGGAGAAUGAGAAGGAAAUAAACCUAAAGGGGGGUUGACAGCGUAGUCUAGAAGGUGAUGAGCUGAGCGGGUGGGGGUAUUAGGGUGGUCAAGUUCAGUGGGUAUGAAGGGUGGAAAGAUGGCAUGAUAGAGGAAUAAGCAGCUGAUAGUGGGUGCGAUGAUAUAAGGUAGGUUGACUAUGGAGAGUAUGGCAUUAAAGGAUGAAGACUUAGAGAGAGAGAGGUGGGUUUAAGGGUAUGGUGAGAUGGAGGGUUGAGGGUGAUAGGCUUGGAUAGUUGCAUGAGGAGGAUGAAAGGUGGGUAUGGAAAAUGUGCAUGGGUAGGAAAUGGGUAUAACAAUGGGUGUGAAUAUUGAGAGGUAGUGAAAUGAAGGCAGCCUUGCUCGUAUGGAUCAGUGUCGGAUUGAGUUAAGAAUGGUGAGAGAAAGGGAUUCGAUGAAUAUUGAAUGAUGGAAAAUGGUGAUUGGUUAGAUAGGGAUUUGUGGUCGAAUGGAAAUAGGAGACAUGAACAUAGAGAUGAGUGUGAUGGAUGAUAGUGGGCAUGAAGGGUAUUGGAUUUGUUCAUGGGUAUAGUGGUUAAAAGAGUGGUGAGAAGAAAAAAAAAUGGCCAUGUAAAUAGCAAUUAUACAUGUGGGCCCGUGAUUGCAAACGGGACUGCAUUGUUGCAUCUCAUGCUGAACCCUCACCUCCUUCUAGGAUCAUUUUCUGCAUCAAAGCUAGAUAAACUUAGAUGGUAUUUCCUGCCAAUUUUGGAUGCCCCCCACUUUGGAAAUAUUUCCUUUUCACCCAUCAGAAUAUGCUUAUCAGGUGUACUUGACUCAGGUUCAUUCCCAUAUUGCCUCUCUGAUUUAUGAUCUUCAAAGGUUUUGCAUGAAGGAAGCCUUUCACUGCAUUCCCCUUCAUCCACCAGACCUUCAGAGCAUCGUUUCCAACAAAAGCAACCUUGACUCUUCUAGUCCCAUCAGAAAAAAGUCUGAAUAUCCUCAGUUUAUGUCAUCCCUUGAUGCCCAACUCAGAAAUGAUCCAAAAAACAGUCAUCUCCCAUAUUUGGCUUCCCAGAAACACCUCGACUCAGAUGGCCAGUCCAAAUGUGAUACCCAACAUUCUAAAAAUGCUAAAAACAGAGGAGAUGAUGAAGAAAAACAGAGCAUGUAUAAAAGAAAAAAAAAAGGACUGUUAAAUCUCACUCCAUUCCAUAAAUGCUAAUGGGGUGGAUAUGGUGGAAUCAAAAGGAAGCAAGAGCGUGAUCUUCAAAAUCAAAAGCAAUGAUGGAUCCAUAUUCAAAACGUUCCAGAAUAGAGAAAGACACAAAUAAGGAGCAGGGUUUUUUUUUGUUACUGGCAGGAAGAUAUUUUUUCUAGAGAGUAACUAGAGAGAAAAAUAGGAAGAAAAGGGAAGAGCAUAGAAGACAUCUACAUAGGAGAGUAUUCAUUGUUGUGAGGAGUAGUAGAGAGCUUAGGAGGAGUUACAAAGAGAGUGAGUUUGGUUAGAGGAGGAAGUUUUGUUGGUUUUUCAGAAAGGAUUCUAGCUUGAGUGAGAGCCAUUCUAGAGAGGGUUAGAGAGGAGAAAGGUGUGUUUUGAGCAGCAAAGACACGAAGCAAAAUAGAGCAGCCAGGAAAGAGAAGCAGAAAAUCAAAAUUACUAAAAAAUUAGUGAAAGCUGUGAAAUUUCAUAUUGUUACUAAUUAUUAUAAUUUUUUUUUGUAUUUUCAAUAUUUCAACCAAUAUUUUAUAUAAUUAAAUUUAAAUUAUAAGAAUUAUAUUAUUAAUACACAUAACUAUCUUAAUGUUUUAACAAUGUAUACUUAUUUAAAUUUAUUUCAAUUUUUUUAUUUUUUUAUAAAUAUCUAAUUAGACUUAUAAUUCAUUGAAAUUAUUCAUUUUUUUUUUACUUCAUAAACCAAUUAUAUUACUUUUUGUAUUUUCAAUAUUCAUUUGGAAAAAAUAAUUUCAAUUUAAAAUAAAAUAAAUUAAUUAACUCUCAAUUUAUAAAUUGUGUCAUUGAAUUAUUUUUUAUUUAUAAUAUUUAGUUUAUUUUAAAUUUAAUUUUUUUUCUUCACCUUUUGGUUUAUCACUUUAUAUUAAAAAAUAAAAUAAAAUUGAAUUUCUUUUAAUUUAUAUUUUCACAAAUUAUUCAAUAUUUUUUUAAUUUUUAUAAAAUAAAUCCUCAGAUUAUAUAAUUGGAUGUUGUAAAGAGUUAAAAUUUUUGUGUUGCAUUGAAUUAUUUUUUCUAACAAAAGUAUAUUUGGGUACCGUAGACAUUAUAUCCAUAUCUUAACGUAUUAUAUACUUUUAUUUUGUGCAAUUAGCAAUUGAGCGGAAGACGCGGAGCCGGCUAACGGAAAUACCGCGUGUCACGCGUGUCCCUUCCCGUACCAAGUCUCAACUGCUUCAAGAUUUCCGACGCGCCCUUCUUCGCUUAACUCUUAAGUCUUUUCUUCCACUCUUCCUUAAACCCAUCACAUUUCGCCGCGUGGACCUAAGUCUCAAUGUCCUUGUGUUCAUACGAUGUAUGUUCCCCCAAUUCCUCAUCUACACUGAAACUCCAUACUCGCCUACUCAAUCACUUCUCUACUCUAGAGUCUGGAUGCUUAUCUCUGCGCGUGUCGAUGGCUCUUCACCCCAGCGAGUAUGGCAUUACAAGGGCAAUAUCGUCAUUAAAGACACAACAGAGUGUCUAUUUUAUUUAAGCUGUACGUAAUCGUGAUUGACUUCUUAGUAUCCUUUUGCUCCUAGUCUUCUCCCGCGUCUCUUAUAAAAACUAAAGAAAACCACUCCAAGAGAGCACACUACAAGAAUCUUCUUCCUUUUUUUCUUUCCUCUUUCUCUUUACAGAUAAACUGAGAAAGCCCAGCUCAUCCCUCAAUUCCCAGAUGGGUUUCAUGAAUGUUCUCAAGUUCUCAGCUGCAUGCUUUGAUCUUCUUGGCUGGUAUGUUGUCCACGCGUUUUCUUGCCAUUGGAAAUUUUUGGGAAAUGAAGUGGAAUUCUCUGUUUGAGGACAAACAUGGGAUUUUCUUUGAUUUCUCCCUGUUGGUUUUAUCUAUAUUCUUUGAAUUACCCACAUUCUUGUCAUUGAUUGUUAGUCAUUUGUUUGGAUUUCUACUUGCAGGCCUCUAUGUGCACUGGGUUAUCCUCUGUAAGUCUUGGUCUUACACCUCAAGAUAUGAUGAUUCAUUUACUCUUUUCUUGUUCUACGAAUGGUUCAGUUACAUUUAUUGUGUUGGGAAACUGAAAAGGAAAAGGAUUAUUAGUUAUUAUCGUAAUAAUCAUCAACAUCAUCUCGGUUCUUCACAGAUGUGCUUCAAUUCGGGCAAUUGAGACUAACUCAAUCUCAGACUUUCGGAAGUUGGUGGCGUAUUGGGUUCUAUUUUCCUUGAUUUCACUCUUUGAUCAUGCUUUUUCCAAGCUCCUUGAAUGGUAAUUUUGCUCAACUGCAUUCCACUAUAUGUGACUCUGUUUGUUUCAUUUCUUUGCCCUUAAGGAAUUUGGAGUUGCUUUUUUCAGUUUUCUUUCCUAUGAAAAUAAUCGAGAGGUCUCCAUGUAUUUUAUAUUCCUUCAUUUCUCUGCUUUGACAAAGGCCCACAUUCUGAUCAGCAGAAAGGUUAUAACAUUUGAAAAAGAAGUGCUUUAUUUUUGUUUUUUGUUAGUACAAUAAUUUUCGUUUGGAUAAAUGGUCUGAAGGGUGUUUGUGUUUGGCUGAGUUCAUGGAAUUUUCUAGCUAAUUUGGGAUUUAUUCUCAAUUUCAAGAUCAUUGUGGAUAUGUCAGAAAUUAAUGAAAUAUAAACGGUGGAAUGUGAUUUUCUUGUUUAAGAAAAGUUUUUCUUUGAAAAUACGGGUGCACCUGACCUACCUUAUUGUGCUACUUGGAACACAAAACAUUAGUACAGGUAAUUUAUUAACUAAAUUGUACACUUUUUGAUAGUUCAAGGAGGUGGUUUUCUUCUUUUAGGGUGUCAGCUUUGGAAAUAGGAUGGAUCUAAAAGUUUUUAUGUCUCAUCUUUAUAGGGAACUUGAAAGCAUGGAUGCACUUAUUUCCAUGGAAUUUGGCUUCCUUGAAAUCAAAUUAAGCUUUAUGCAUCAUUUGGAUGCUGAGAAACAAAUGGAAAUAGAAAAUUCAGAAUCUGACAAGUUUUUGUAGGGCAACUGGAUCUAAUCUCUUAGUCGAAGCCUAAUUGGGGCAAAUGCUGAUCAUCUUUGGACCCCAUUGAAAGCUCUAAUCUGUGCACAAUUCUAAUGUUUUUGUUUUCUUCAUUUCUUUUUCAACUUUUCACAAUAGAUGUCAAAGGUUAAAACCAAAUUUACGCAGUCCAUCCAAGUGGAUGCAUAUAAAUUUAACAGAAACUGAAAUUCGAAGAAAUUUAUUUUCCCUUUUGUAAAUGGUGUUUAAAUAUUUUAUUUUCUUAUAUAAUGCAUGUCAGGGUACCAUUCUGGCCUUACAUAAAGCUGAUGGUCAUCUGCUGGCUGGUGAUACAGCAGUUUGAUGGUUCAUAUUAUGUCUAUCAACACCUAGUUCAGCCAUGCUUGUCCAUGGAUCCACAAGCUGUCAUGAACUGGCUCUUCAAUGAAUCAAAAAAGAAGUUUCAUAGCAGAGAAAACUUUCUUGUUUCAGCAGACCGAUAUAUUAAGGAGAAUGGACCUGAAGCUUUGGAGAAACUACUUUCUAGGAAGGUAUGCCAUUAUAAGUAGGAUUAUCAACAAGUCAAACAGAGUUUUAUUUGAGAUGUUCAGGUAAAAAAUGACUAUAGUAGGUCAUCUAGAAUCAUUUGGUCUAAAUUCAUGUAUAUAUCUAUAUAUAAUUGUGUUCUCUUUUUUUCACAUAUGCAUGUGCAUUUAGAUUUACAUAAUUAUAUAUGCAUAAUCAGAUUCAACUGUGAUAGCCCGGAAUUAUUUCAGUAAUCAACUCUUCUGGGAACAUGUUGGUUAUGGUUUCUCUCUCACUGUCCUCUUCUUUAUACAUGACUUUGGCUUCAGUUGAGGAGCGCAAAGCCUAAUGUUGAAGUGAAAAAGAUCAAAGCACCUGCAGCACCGGAGAAAAAAGGGGAACAGGUAAGUUCUCUAAUGUGACUAUUUAAUUUCUAUGAGGCAGAUCCCCAGAGAAAUGUUGCUCAUGUAAAUUACUGAUGCAUUUGAUUCAAUGGCAUGGUUUUAAAAGAAAAACCACUUUAUGUAUGUUUCUGUGAAUAAGAGAACAAGUUUAUGGAUUAAAUGAUAUUUUUUAUGGUGGAUUAAUCAAUAAUUUUCAAAAUAAUAAUAUAUUCGUGCAUGUUUUUGCAAUUCAUGAAUUCCUUUUAUGAUUGAUUCUUCUUGCCUUUUUUCUCACCUCAGUGGAAGUGUGAAGAGCCUAAUGUUGCUCAAAAGGAGAUCCAAGUUGUCAAAGUAACAGAGAUAAAAAAUGGGGGGGAUGGAGCAAAGAGGGUAAGUUUUGCUUUUUAUUUAUAAAGUAGGCUGUCUUCACACAAGGAUUAUUAUCUUUAAGACAUGAAUGUUGAAUGCUUUUGGAAUUGUCCAUGAAUCAUGUGUAGUGUGAAUGGCCUAAUGCUGCUAAGAAGGAGGUCAAAGUGACAGAAGUAACACACAGAACAUUCGGUGGUACAGCACAGUGGGUAAGGUUUCAUGUCAUAUUUAAAUGGCUCCUCAUAUUUCACUAGGAUUAAUUUUGCCCCUACAAACAUAUUUGGCUACAAGUUAAGACAGAGUUCCAGAUGCUGAUAAAGUUGAGACAUAAGUAAUGAAUGAGUUUAGAAACAUGCACAACUCUUGUGUGAAACACAAUGAGAGUGGAAAAUAGCUAAGUUGAAAAAUGGCCAAAUACUAUUUUGUAGUUCCCCCUACCACUUAAGUAAUUUUUGUCAUCCUUUGUGAAUGGAAAAUCCAGUCCCUUCAGUAAUUCCGUUAUAUUCAUGACUUGGUGAAGCAUAUAACCAUUAGUGUCUUGCCUUAAGUCGACCUUUAAUGAUGAUCCAUUGAGAUGGGUCUGACUUUUGUCAACCCUCUUAUUCCCUUGAUCAUAGAGGUUAAACUUAGGGGGCUUAACCCACUUUUGAACCUUAUUGGAUAUAUGGCACAUGGUAUCCUCUUCAUCUUGAAAGAGUGAAGUGGUCAUACUCUUUCCUCUGAGUCCAUUGUGGCCAUGCACUUCUGGCCCAUUGGGCUGAGUGAAAGGAUUCCCUUCUGCUUCAAAUCAUAGAGAGAUAUGCCAUGGUCAGCCUCUUUAAUUCAAGGGAUCGAAGUACUCAAAUCCAUUUCUCUGCAUCCAUCUUAAUUCUGCAUUCAUGUCUCAUGGUUAACCAAGAAGAUCCAGCUUCCAUCCAUGAGAUCAGCAUCUGCAGGUUUAUGACACCACCCUUCCUUGGCAUAGGAAAGGGAUCAUUAAGCCAUGUGUUGGAUGACAGAAGUCAUCAUUCAGGUUAUCUUGAGAACUAAGGAAGUUGGAAUUCUAAUUAUUGCAUAUGGUUCUUGAUGUUUAGCCAAUAUACCGUAGGAUUUUAAGGAUCAUGCUCAUGUGCAUUGUGGUUGUUUAUCAGCUAUAUGGUUUACCAAAAUGAGGGACUGAUUAUGGUCAUAAGUACCUUUUUCCUAUUAAUUUCUUGCAUGUGCUCUGCUGAGAUUAUGUUUUUGACAGUCCAAAUCAGGGCAAACCAACAAACAGCUUUAUGUUAACUUUUACAAACUGCCACAUUUUCAGGUUAAACGAACAGAGAUAAAUCUUGGUGAAACUAGAAGUAAUACAACUUGUGCUGUGGAGAUAAAAGAAAGGGCAGCGGCACUGGUGGCUGCAGAAAUUGAGGCAUGUAGAGACGAUAGAACCCCCAAGAUACCUCUUCAUGAGAAAGUCCAGAAAGAGUGGGCUUGUGCUGUAUGCCAGGUCACAACCCAAAGUGAAGCGAC
rnacentral:lncRNA from 1 species